CUUCUAUGUUUAUAUUGUUUUUAGUUGUUUAAGUUUAAGAACUUGUAUGGCAACGAACUCUAGAUGAUUUUGUGGAUGAUGUAAAGUUCCUUUAUGUCCAUUUGCAACCGAUUUUCUUGUGUGUUUGCAGUCCAUUUUGUUGUUGUGUUAUUUGAUAACGUAAAGUAGCUCACGUUUCAUAUGUAGUAUGGAUAUAGAUGUCGUAUAUGAGAAUCUGGAUGUGAAGAGAUAAAUAUGAGAUGCGUUCGGCCAGUAUUGGUGGAUGUGUCCAUGGAUAUUUGAGGGGCCAAAUUAGCCCGUCUCAACUGUAGAUGCUCUAAUUAUGUGUGGACCUGGUCUUAAACUCAUAAUGAAUAUUUUACAGUUUUACAAGUUUGUCAAAGAGAAGGUUUAAGUGGUUUGUGGUCUCCACCACAAGAUAUGUCUUUUUGAUUGAACAAUCUGUGGAAGCUCUGUGGCGCGCUGGGCGUGGUUUGAUGACAGGGCGAGACGCAUGUACCCGUCGAUGGAUUCAAGGCCCUCCAUGUUAACGAGCAUCUUAUUAUAGUAUGGGCUUAAGACCGACACAGAUAUAGCUUAUUUUCUGUCUGAUGCACCUUACUCGGGCCUGUUCUCGAUGCACGAGGAAAAUGCAGGUAUCUCCAUCAUCCCGUAGCUCAUCGACAACAGAAACUAGUCACUGAUAUAUGCGCUUUGUUCUGGAGGACAAGGAGCUUGAACCGGUGGCCACAACGAAGACGUUGGGACCACUUGGUGUCACACAAUGGCACAUCCCCGUCGCUCCCAAUGCCGACGGAGGUGGCAUAAACAACAACACAUGACGGAAUGGGAGGAGGGUGAUGGCAUAAUCUGGUAAGGCUAGUUGUGCUGCGACUCACUGCUAAAUUCCUGAUGCCUCUCAGACCUACAGUUGGUAUAUAUAGCCUUUUUCAAAGGUCACUUUUGUUUCUGGAACCAAACGGUUUUGUGAAAGAAAAUCGAUGUAUUGCCUCACAACUAUGCUUCUUGUAAGAACUUAAGAACACGGUGCGUGUGUCCCACCUAAUUAUUCACCUUCUACCGCAAGAAGCUGCAAUGAAUGAAUGAAUGAUUUGGUGCAUUAGUGACCAACCAUAUUGUCAUGUUAUAUGUUGUGAUGUCUAGGAAAAAAAUUUAGGUCCAGAUACUACAACCAAUAAACAUGCUAUGACAAAUGUACACUAAUACAAACCACUAUGAAAAAUCUGAAAUAAUUCACUGUAAAGUUAUGAAAUAAAAGGAAAGAUGUUGGUAUCAAUGAGCGAAUAUCAGGUGGAAACCAAAGUUACGAUGGAAACCAUGUGAAAAAAGUGAAGUAUUCAAAAUAAAAUGUUAUGUUAACAAAGUUAUUUUCUGCUAGCAUGUAAUAUCCCAAGUUCAAACUCUAAUCCAAAACAAAUUUUGUACUCCCUCUGUAACUUAAUAUCAGACAUUUUUUUACACUCUCAUGGAUCAAAAACAUCUUAUAAAAAGUUAAAGUGGCAGUAUCUCUUUAUUGGGAACGACAACUGAUGAUAGUGUAAUAAAGUCACUGAAGUUUUGACGUAAAGAAGACCCAAAUUUGUGUUGGGAUACCAAUGGAGUCAUUGUGAACCUUCAGGCACGGCUGUCGGUGGUAGUGUAAUAAAGUCACUGAAGUUUUGACGUAAAGAAGACCCAAAUUUGGCCACCAUAUUUGAAUUUUACUAUUUUUCUUGAGGUCAAUGAACACACUAAGAAAAUGUUUGAAUUCAUCUAAUGUUUUAUUUCUAAAUAUACUAUCUCACUUUGUAUUCAAAAUUACAAGGACAUUUUCUAGGAUAUAAUGUUCUCUAUUCAGAGGGUGGAAUAAUGAUGGAACAAAAGGAAUGCAACAUCGACCGGUUUGUUCCACAACAAUUGAAGUAAGGUGCCCACUAAUAGAAAACAGGGCUUUAGUCCCGGUUGGUAAGGGACUUUAGUCCCAGUUCACCAACCAGGACUAAUAACUUGGGACUAAAGCCCCCCCUUUAGUCCCGCUUUGACACGAUACGUGACUAAUUCCCUUUCAUAAAGUUCAUACAUAAAACAACAAGACUAAAAAGACCAAAUUAAUACAAGUUCAUACACACUUAUUCUCAUAAAACAACAUACAAGAGUAUCCAGCUAAAGCAUUUAAAUGCAACAACAAACGCGAUCAAGAUCGCAACUAAGGUAACAAUUGAUCCAACAUCAUAGUGAUAUCAAGCCUCUUUAUUAACGACAUAUUUUCUAAUCUUUCUAAUCUUCAAACGCAUUGCAUUCAUCUUGAUCUUAUGAUCAUCGACGACAUCAGCAACAUACAACUCCAUUUUCAUCUUCUCUUCUUCAAUUCUUUUCAAUUUUUCUUUCAAAUACUUGUUUUCUUUUUCAACUAAAUUUAACUUCUCGACAAGAGGGUCGGUUGCAAUUUCCGAUUCACAUACCUCCUAGAUAAAAAUAUCUAUGUCAACUUGAUGGGCAUAAUUAUCAUAAACGAGAAAUACAAAAAUACUUAUAAAAAAGAAUAUACCACAUCUGAAUCAUAAAUCGGAUGAGGUCCGACGGGGACGGAUAUCAAGACCAUGACACUUUGUAUAACAAACAAUCAUACAGGUAAGAAAACUAUCUAAAUCAUAUAAAUAAGAUUUUUCAUGUAUAAAAAGGAUAAGAACAAGAGAAUCGACAAGGUGGUGCCAGCGACGGGACGGUGCGGGAGAUCAAUGGUGAUUAGGAUGGGGACGGGAAGGCACUAAGUAAACCACACCUACACAUAUGCAAAUAAGAAGUUAAUUUGAGCUCAUAUUGGAUAUAAAUCAAAUAAACUCCCACAAAAUUACUCCUCAAACUAAAACCCGCAAAUCACUAUACUUAUAGAGCAUUGCACGAGCUAAUCUACCAAUAAAAGAUGAAAGGACAAAGUUGCUAACCUUUGUGAACACUUUGAGAGAUGGGGUGCCUCAAAUCUUGACAAAUUUUGAUAAAAAAUGGAGGAUGAGCUGAGCUAAGGGGAAGAAUAGAGAGGGGAAUGGAGAAAACAGAGAAUGGGCUCGGUCUGGACGAAGGGCUUAUAUAGGCAAAUCUUUAGUCUCGGUUUGUCUAUCUAGUCCCGGUUGGUGUUACCAACCGGGGACUAAAAGGGUUCGCAGGAGACCCAGCCUGCCAUCACCCCUUUAUUCUCGGUUGAUAACACCAAUCAGGAUUAGAGGUUAAAAAUAAACCGGGACUAAAGACUAACCUCAUGAACCGGGACUAGUGGCAGCAUUAGUCCCGGUCUAAAAGUCAACCGAGACUAAUGCUUCGAUCCAAAUGCCUGUUUUCUACUUCUGGCCUAGUGCAAGACAAACAAAAGAAAUCAAAAUGCUGCAAAACUCUGUUCAUCUAAAAAAAACAAUUGCAGUAGGCUAGAGUGCCCGAUUCUCUCACAUGGGGGAGGAGAGAUAGAGAGAAAGAGAUAAAAGCACCCAGAGACUCCUCCUAUCUCUAUUAACCCGAGCAAUUACGAACCGGACUGGUUGUGUUAUUUUUCUUUGGGCCGGCCUCCAUCCGCUGGCAUCGGGUGGGACGUUGUGCUGCGAACUGUAUCCAUUCGUCCAUCUCGUCAGAGUGGAGGGUCAAUCUGAGCAGGAGGGAGCUUGCACCGGUUUCAUCUGUGGUUGAAGAGGGACCAUAGCCGUUCCCUACGCUCGCGGUGGGUACAUAAACGGGGAUGCAUGUGGCUACGGCCUGCAGAUCGUCAACUCAUUGCUAAAUUGCUGAUACCUCUCAGGCCUAAAGAUUGCAUGCCAUUUUUAAUGGAAACAUGGUUACUCUCUUUUGGGACCAAUAGCUUGUCAAAUUUUCUUGAUGUGUUGCUUCACAGCUAUGCUUCUUAUUGAGACAUGUCCGUAUGCGUCUCACCAAAUUUUAUUCGCCUUUACCACGAGAUGUCGCAAUGAAUGGUUAACUUAAAACAGUACUGACCAACCAUAUUGCCAAGAUAUAAUCAAUAUCCUGAAGAAAAAAUAGUCGAAUACUACACCCGACAAACAUGUUAUAUUGAAUGUACAUUAAUAUUUAAUACAAACCACAUGGUAUACCAAUUGCGGAAGUAGGUAAGAAAACAUGAUAAAAUGAUAUUAAAAUGCACCGCUUGGUAUCACCAACUAAAUAACUGAUAGCAACAAGCGAUAUUUGCGUAGACCACACCACUCGCUUCUGGAUGAACAAAUUUUAAGCCUAAUAACUCGACACAGAAUAUUAUUGAGAUACAGAAAAAGAGAUGCAAUGUGAAACAUUAAAGUAUCAUAAUCAGUACAACACCAGCACCAUGGGUCUCCUGAAAAUUGUCCUUACUGUUCAGAGCAACACCAAAAUUUAUUAUGAACACAACUCAUGUAAUUUGACUCUCCAAACUUUGCUAGCUGAACAUGAAUGAGUACAGCCAAACGGAACUCGACUGCCACCACGAACUAGGUCUGAACUACACGAUCUCGUUGGUAGUUAGGACUGUUGAUUGAUUGUUUCAGAAGACACAUAACACAUGAGCGCACAGAAAUAACUUAGCAGGCAAGCAUAGGAGACAAAUCUGCCAAACGCUCUAUCAUGGCGACAAAACUCAAUUGCGCAGCAAGGUCAUGCAUGGCUGGAGCUCAUGGGACAUCACACCAUUCAUGCGCUUCCAGAGAUGCUAGUACAGAAACUAGAAAGUCAAGCCUGAUGCAUCACACCAUUGUUUUUGGGUUGGUAGCAUUUGUGCUACUGACUCAGAUGCCCUUUUUUUCGUCUGGUCUGACCUACUUGUAUGAGGGUUUUCUAGCCACUUUGUAUCGGUUUGCCACUUUCGGCUUUAACAUGACAUUUCCCUCGCUGCUAAAUUCCCACUACCUCUCAAUCCUACAUGCCACAAGCUGUUGUCUCUGAAAAAGGGUUGUUAUGUUUUUGUGACAACCUUUGUCAAUAUUUCUUAGGAUACUGUUGAAUACUAUGCUCAUUAUAUCGACAUGUGGUGUGUGUGCAACGAAUGGAAAAUUGAAUAUGACUAGAGAGGCCAGACCAACCAUACUAUCACCAUAUACAUUCUCCAUAGUAAACUUGGUAGACCAACAUAGUACACCCAACAAAAAACAUGCUAUGCUAAAGAGCAGCCACGGAAUCAACAAAUUUUUUACUUACAUGGAAUCAAAGAGAUUUUGAUUACACAUGGAAAGUGAGUCACUGACAUUUUAACACCAUCCUACCAAAGAGUAAGACAUGAAUAAUUCUGCAUAACUGAAAGAGGGAGUAACCGAGGAAGCAAAUGCGCAAUCAUUGCUCAAUUUAUUGAAUUGGGUGGCAAGUGCAAGCCAGCAGUAAAAUCAGCAUGCUACAAAAUUUUGUUCAUCUUAACAACUACAGCAAAGGAUAUGUGAAUCCGAAAUCUAAAAGGUACAUGGUCGGUUUUAUCUCUCGUUUCACAUCACUUGAGCAAUCAAGAAACAAAUAUAUCGCUAAUUAAGAGAAUUCCCAGUACUCAAAUUUCAAGGAAGUAUGUCAUGCCUGUGAUAUUAUUGUUUCUUGCUGAUGUCGGGCUUUACCGAGCAGGAGUUUUCACCAACUGAGUAGGCAGGUUCCAUCCAGUAGAGAACAUGAUCCUCUCCAUGGCGUACUCGCAGGUUAGGAGGUCCAAAUUUGAUUGCAUUUACAAAGCUGAAAAACAAUAGGUGCUAUUUCUGGAUCUGUUGCCUGGAGACCAAACACAUGGCAUGGGAAGCGCCUAUUGCAACCGAGAUGACACGAGGAGGGCUUGGAUCCUCGUCACCGUCAGCAAGAAAAUUAACUUUAACAGGUAAUGGUUGCACUUCUGGAAGAUCAGGAACGCCUAGCUGGCAGUCUCUUGCAUUUCCCCACAUGUACAAGUCACCUUUCUCUGGUCACACAAACAAAGUAAAUUCAGGUAAGCUGCUCAUAGUGAGAAAUUUUGAUUGCUUGCAUUUAGCUGACAUGCAAUGUGAUGUAGAACUAGAACAAGGCAACUGAACUAAGCUAGUUAAAACAAGAAUGUUGAGAGAGACAUCUUAUGAAACGAAUAAGAGGCUCUUACAGUGGCAAUAUAUCUGGGUUUCGCGUAUCAAAAUAAAUGGACUAACUGAAUUUUAGUUACGACAAUGGCAUUUUUUCUUUAUUACUCGAAAGUAAUUAAGUUGUGCAACGCCUGUUUCAUCAGCAAUACAUGCAAUUAAAUUUGUAUGCAAAGAAUCUACAAAACUAGUAAAUCUUAGAAAUCCUUUCUUUCAUCAGCAAUACAUGCAAUUAAAUUUGUAUGCAACACCUGUUUCCUGCAUAAUUACAACAGUAACAAAAGACUGAUUAUCUGGCUGACUGGUUAACUCUAAGAAUUUGCUCUCUCAUAUCACAAGUACAUGCCAGUCUUAUAAACUAUACAAAAGUCUCAGGUACUUUCUUUUGCUCCCCAAAUGGUUUUCAAAGUAGACAGUUUUAUUCUCAGUUACUCGAUGCCAGGUGGUGGUGGUGCAUGUUUGCCAUUUCCUAUGAAUCUUCAGUUUAGACAUUUGCGUACUACAAUUCAGUAAAGAAAAUAGCGAACAGAAGGUAGGUGAGGCUAAGAACAUGUCAAGAGUUCCCUGCACAGCAACAACCACCAUGUUAAGACGUAAAAGAGAAGCAGCAUUCACCUGAUAUAGCAGCGGAAGUUGAUCCUCCACAGGCUAUGUAGACAAUUCGCUCCUCAGACAGAGCUUUAAUGGCAAGUGGAACUCUAUGAUUUUGAAUGGUGGGAUGCCCUAGUUGGCCAUGUCCACCAUGUCCCCAUGAGAGAACUUCACCUUCAUCUGAAUAAAGUUAACAGAGGUAAGAUAUGUCACAUACUUGUAUGCUGCAACAACAAAUACAUUGUUCUGUGCUUCUAUAACAGCAGUCAUUAAUACAACUAAGUUUACAUCUCCAUGAAUAUAGUGGCAUUAUACUGAUGGCUUGCUGUAAGAUCCAACAGAACUUGAUUCAUGAUCAAAUGUGAUCUUAUGAUUGAAGAUCAUUAUUGCAGUCAAAACCAGCAGUAGGCUUAGUUAUCCAACUUGCUGAGACAAAGGCAAAUGUAUAUUCCUUUAUAACUCCUGUCUGAAUGUUUGUUUUCAGAACUUCGAUUGCAAAUUCUAAUUUCUCCAAUGUAAUGUGUUAUCAGAUUUUGAUAGGAGCCUGAAUUUCGAACAAGUAAAACAUACCAGUCAAGGCCAAAGAAUGGUAUCCACCGCAUGCUACUUGGAUUACAUGGACAUUUUUGAGGCUAGGGACAAUUUGUGGCCUCCAGUCACUCGAAUUGCUUCCUCUUCCCAGUUCGAAGUUUGAGUUUGCUGAAGAUCAUAGACAAGUUGUAGAAACUCAAUAAAUCCAUAUUAGAUGAGAUGCAUUUCAAAUUAAAUUAGUACAUAAGUCUCUUAUGACGGAACCUGGAAAGCCAGAAUAAAGACGUUGGGGCAGUUUCUUAUAUUUAGGAAUGGAGGCAGUACUAAGCAAGAUCGUUGAGAUUAAGGAAGCUUAAGAGCAUUUCAGAAAAUUAUCAUAACCCAUGUAAGUGUAACUUAUGCCCAAUGGAUGAAAUAAAAGGUCUGGGCAUGUAGUUGGAGGGAAAAUGUUGUGCAUAACCCACAACAUUUCACAUUAGCGAGAACCUUGUAAACUCAUAAUCGCAGCUUAAUAUGAACUGCAUGGUGUUGCAUUGCACAUUAGCAGCAAGUUAAGUCACAACUGUUUCCCUAGUUUUGUAGAAGAGCAUCAGUGCAGAAUAAGUUAAAUACAUGGUGUUUACUAGUUAAUAAAUUAAUACACAGUGACGUUCUCACCUCCCCAACUCCAUAGCUGCCCAUCCAAGGUCAGCGCCAGGGUGAAGAAGCCACCGCAAGCAACUGCAGCAACUGGAACAGGCAGCGCGCUCACCUUCGAAGGAACACUGAGAGAGCCGGCUUCACCUGGACCACCCCCACUCCCAAGCCCUAACCUUCCAUCGCCUUCAUCACGACCCCAAGUGUAAAGUUCACCUGUUACAAGUCAUCAAAAUGCAAGGAUCAGAGUGGAGGGAGUUUGAUGAACACAACGACAAUAUUUCAAAAUGACAACAUUAAAAGUUCUAUUUUCUUUCAUUUUCUCACACUAUUCAUUCGCACAAGGAAGUACAGUAACCAAAGAUAAAUAAAAAGUGUAUGCCCGGAUUAAGCGUGGAUAAGAAGUUAUAAACAACCUGAUUCUGUGAUUGCCGCAGUAUGCGCUCCGCUCGUGGCAAUGUGCACAAUCUUCCCUUCCCAAGGGCCGUUCACUUUCCUCGGCAACAGCUCUCUAUGGUAAACGUAGUGCCCCAGAGCUCCAAAUCCACCAUAACCCCUGCAGGCUACUAGAGUAAACUGAGUGAUGCAGCAGCCAGCCACAACCAUCGACCAUCACAACCAAAAUGCAGCACAUCCUUCUUCUCGCAGUACAUCCGGCAUCAGUGAAAUUUUCGGAAUGAGCGAGCAAUGUGGGAGCGUCGUGUCCUCACCAGGUGAAGACGUCGCCGGAGGCGGUGAGGGCGGCGGAGUGGAUGCCGCCGAGCGCGAGGACGCGGAGGCCGGCGAGGUUGGGGUUGGCGCGGGGGACAAAGGCGGAGGCCUCGUCGCCGAGCCCGAGGCGGCCGCCGUCGCCCUUUCCCCACACCCAGGCGGCCCCGUCCACGAGGAGCGCUGAGUGGAAGAGCCCGCAGGAGAUCCCCACCUCCACGCCGCCGGCCGCCUCCGUCCCUGAAGCGGGGGGCAGGCGCCCGGGGGNNNNNNNNNNNNNNNNNNNNNNNNNNNNNNNNNNNNNNNNNNNNNNNNNNNNNNNNNNNNNNNNNNNNNNNNNNNNNNNNNNNNNNNNNNNNNNNNNNNNCGGGAAGGGUCCCAUAUAAUCAAAGCCCCAGACAUCAAAUGGUUCAAUUGAUAAGUGAAUAGUUCAUAGGCAUUUCCUGAUGCUUAUUGAUGUUCCCUAUUCUUUGGCAUUCGUCACAAGUCAAGACAAACUUACGGGCAUCCUUGAAGAGAGUGGGACAAUAGGAACCUGAUUGCAAUACCUUAUGAGCAGUUCUGUCUCCAGCAUGGUGUCCUCCGUAGGCCUCGGAAUGACAGUUCUGUAGGAUCUGUCCCUGUUCAUGUUCAGGCACACAACGUCUAAUAACACCAUCUGCUCCUUCCUUAUAAAGGUGAGGAUCAUCCCAAAAGUAGUGUCUCAAAUCAAAGAAGAAUAUCUUCUUUUCCUGGUAGGUGAAACUGGGUGGUAUGUAUUUGGCUACGAUAUAGUUUGCGUAAUGAGCAUACCACGGUGCACUAUGUGAAGUUCGGAUGACAUUUAAUUGCUCAUCAGGAAAGCUGUCAUCAAUAGGUCGUGGGUCAUCAAGGACAUUCUCUAGCCUGGACAAGUUAUCUGCUAUAGGGUUAUCAGCACCCUUUCGGUCAACAACGCGCAGAUCAAAUUCCUAUAGCACGAGAACCCAUCUGAUUAGCAUAGGCUUAGCGUCCUUCUUCUCCAUAAGGUACUUAAUAGCAGCAUGAUUAGAGUGAAUAGUGACUUUGGAGUCAACUAUAUAAGAUCUGAACUUUUCACAUGCAAACACGACUGCUAAAAACUCCUUCUCCGUAGUGGCAUAGUUUCUUUGGGUACUGUCUAGAGUUUUACUAGCGUAGUGAAUAACAUCCAACUUCUUGUCAACUCUUUGUCCUAGAACAGCACCAACAGCAUAAUCACUAGCAUCGCACAUGAUUUCAAAGGGCAAGUUCCAAUCAGGUGGUUGAACAAUAGGUGCGGUUAUCAAGGCCUUCUUAAGUAUUUCGAAAGCUUCCUCACAAUCCCCAUCAAAAACAAAAGGAACAUCCUUUUGCAAGAGGUUGGUAACAGGCCUAGAAAUCUUAGAGAAGUCUUUAAUGAAACUUCUAUAGAAACCAACAUGACCUAGGAAGCUUUGUAUACCUCUGAUAUCUGUGGGGCAAGGCAUUUUCUCAUUGCAUCAACCUUAGCCUUAUCAACUUCAAUGCCUUUCUCAGAGAUUUUGUGUCCUAAGACGAUGCCUUCAUUAACCAUAAAGUGGCACUUCUCCCAGUUCAAGACGAGGUUGAUAUCUUUGCAUCUCUGUAAGACUCGAUCAAGGUUGCUGAGGCAAUUGUCAAAGGAAGAACCAUAAAUGGAGAAAUCAUCCAUGAAAACCUCAACAAUAUUUUCACAAAAGUCAGAGAAUAUAGCCAUCAUACAUCUUUGAAAGGUAGCAGGUGCAUUGCAUAAGCCAAAAGGCAUACGUCUAUAAGCAAAGUACCGAAGGGGCAGGUGAAAGUGGUUUUCUUCUGAUCAGAUUGUGCAACAGGCAUUUGCGAGAAACCUGAAUAACCGUCUAGAAAGCAGAAGUUUGUGUGUUUAGAUAGCCUUUCUAGCAUUUGGUUGAUAAACGGCGAAGGAUAAUGGUCUUUCCUGGUUGCCUUGUUCAGUUUCCGGAAGUCUAUCACCAUCCUAUAGUCAGUAAUAAUCCUUUGUGGGAUUAGUUCAUUCUUAUCAUUAGGAACGACGGUGAUACCUCCGUUCUUGGGUACGCAAUGUACUGGACUUACCCAAUCACUAUGAGCGACAGGAUAAAUGAUUCCUGCUUCGAGAAGCUUUAAUAUUUCUUUUCUCACGACCUCUUUCAUCCUUGGAUUUAAUCUCCGUUGAUCAUCAGCAACUGGCUUAGAAUCAGAAUCGGUUUUAAUCUUGUGCUGACAUAGAGUGGGACUAAUACCCUUAAGAUCAUCAAGAGUAUAUUCAAUAGCAGCAUGGUGCCUCCUCAAAGUUUUUAAUAACUUCUUCUCUUCGUGAUUCGAGAGGUGAGCACUAAUAAUAACAAGAUAUAUCUCCUUCUCAUCAAGAAGGCAUACUUAAGAGUAUCUGGUAACUGUUUUAGCUCGAACACAGGAUCACCCUUUGGUGGGGCAGGAUCCCCAAGCAGUUCAACAGGCGGAUUAUUCUUGAGAAUAGGAUAUUGUUCUAAAACAAUUUUAUCUAUCUCAUCUCUUUCAUCCAUAUGCAUAUCAUUCUCAUGCUCAACUAGAUAUUGCUCUAAAGGAUCCGUAGGAGGUACAGCAAUAGAGGCAAGAGCAAUGAUUUCAUCCCUACCAGACGACUCUUUUUCAUGGGGUUGUCUUCCAAACUUGGAGAAGUUAAAUUGAUGAGACACACCCUCGAAACUAACAGUGACAGUCUGUUUAACACAAUCAAUAUGAGCAUUAACAGUGUUGAGAAAGGGUCUACAAAAUAUGAUGGGACAAAGCUAUCUUAUGCAGUAGCAAGGACGAGCAAAUCAGUAGGAUACUUCGUCUUGCCACACAGGACUUCUACGUCUCUCACAAUUCCCACACGGCAGAUAGUGUCUCUAUUAGCUAGCGUAAUAGUGACAUCAAUGGGUUCUAACUCAGCAGCUGCAAUCUCAUCUUUGAUUUCAUCAUAAAGGGACCAGGGUAUUGCACUAACACUAGCACCCAUAUCACAUAAACCAUGAUAACAGUGAUCUCCUAUCUUGAAAGAAACAACGGGCACGCCAACUACAUGUCUGAAUUUGUCUUUCACGUGAGGUUUAGCAAUUCUAGCGGAGUCCUCACAGAAGUUGAUAACAUGCCCGUCCAUGUCUUCGGCUAAGAGAUCUUCGAUAAUUGCAACACUAGGUUCAACUCUAAUUUACUCACGGGGUGCAAGUGGUCUAAUGUAACCCCUACGAAUCACAGUUGGAGAUUUAGAAUAAUCCUUUUUCCUAGCAGGGUAAAGUGGUUUCUCAGCAUAGGCACGGGGAACAAUAGGAUCACUAAAGGCAAUGACUUUCUCUUCAACUAGAUUGUGUUUAACUACGUUGACUUCUACAGGAGGAUGAUACUUAAACCACUUCUCUUUGGGAAGAUCAACAUGAGCAUCAAAAGAUUCACAUAGAGAAGCUACUAUCUCAGAGUCAAGUCCAUACUUAGCGCUAAAAUCUCUAGAAGUGUUUGUUUCAACAAAAGAUUUAACGCAAUCAAACUGGAAAUUCAUACCUGACUCCUUACCUUCUUCAAGCUCCCAAUCUUUAGAGUUACGUUUGAUUCUUUCCAAUAAAUUCCACUUGUGGUCAAUAUCCUUCUUCAUAAAAGAACCGGUACAAGAAGUGUCAAGCAUGGUACGAUCAUCAUGAGAAAGCCGAGCAUAAAAGUUUUGAGUGAUGAUUUCUCUCGAGAGCUCAUGAUUGGGGCAUGAAUAUAGAAUUGGUUUAAGCCUCCCCCAAGCUUGGGCUAUGCUUUCCCUAUCACGAGACCAAAAGUUAUAAAUAUAAUUCCGAUCACGAUGUACUAAAUGCAUAGGAUAAAUCUUUUGAUGAAAUUCCAAUUUCAACCGAUUGUAGUCCCAUGAUCCAGUAUCAUCACAUAGCCUAUACCAUGUCAAUGCCUUAUCCUUCAAAGAUAAAGGAAAUAAUUUCUUCUUUACCUCAUCCUCGGGCAAACCUGCAAGCUUAAAUAAACCACAAACUUCAUCUACAUAGAUUAGAUGAAACUCUCGAUGUGAAGAUCCAUCUCCUGUGAAAGGAUUAGCCAGCAGUUUCUCAAGCAUACCCAAAGGAAUUUCAUAAAAAGAUAUUUUCAGUAGGUACCUCAGGUUGAGGAGAAACUCCUCGUGCUUCCGUUCAUGGUGAAGAUACCCCGAACAAAUUCCUCAAAGGAACAGUUUCCAUAGUGACAAGUGACAAUAAAUUUCAGCACACUAUAUAAAUGUUUCCUUACCAAAUUCCACUUACCAAAGGCGCUUCCCUCCCCGACAACGGCGCCAGAAAAGAGUCUUGAUGACCCACAAGUAUAGGGGAUCAAUCGUAGUCCUUUCGAUAAGUAAUAUUGUUGAAACCAACGAGGAGCAGAAAGCCCUGAUAAAUGGUUUUCACCAAGGUAAUAACUGCAAGCACUGAAAGUAGCGGUAACAAGUGAUGGUGUAGUGAGGUGAAACGUAGCAGGUGAAAAGUAAUAAGUAACAAGAGUAGCAACGGUGCAGCAAAGUGGCCCAAUCCCUUUUGUAGCAAGGGACAAGCCUGAACAAAGUCUUAUAAGAGGAAAAACGCUCCCGAGGACACAGGGGAAUUUCUGUCAUGCUAGUUUCAUCAUGUUCAUAUGAUUCACGUUCNNNNNNNNNNNNNNNNNNNNNNNNNNNNNNNNNNNNNNNNNNNNNNNNNNNNNNNNNNNNNNNNNNNNNNNNNNNNNNNNNNNNNNNNNNNNNNNNNNNNUCUAGCCAAGACCCGGGACUAAAGGUCCUCCUAUAUAAAACGACACUUCGAAGUUUCCAACCCCUCUUAUAUAGUUUGUUAGUUUAUUAGUUAAUCAAAUGUCCAUUUUUUGCAGAACUAUGGAUCCACAUAUCAGGAACCUCGAAGAGGAAGAACUUCUCGAAGAUAUAAUCAAAGACGGCCGUGCCGUUGAACCAGCUGAAUCUCCGUCGUCAUAUCUAAACCCCUCCGGAUANNNNNNNNNNUGGCCCCGACGUUGAACCAGCUGAAUCUCCGUCGUCAUAUCUAAACCCCUCCGGAUAUGGAAUGGAGGUCGAGCAACACGAAGAUGAAGCCGAUGGGGCAGGAGAUAGGUCCAAUGACGGAGAAGGUGAUAGCUCCACUGAUGGAGAAACCGGUGGAGAAAUAAUAAAGUCCGGCGAGGUAUACAUAUGAAGUUUGACAAUCACUUGUAAUAUGUGAAAAAUAUUGGAGAUAGCUCUAUAUUGUAUACAUAUACAUUCAUUUGAUGAAUGUUUCUCCCACUUAGACCUCCACAUCGAGAAAAGCUACGAAACGAGGCCCGACUAAAAAGUUGGAUGCACGGACACAUUACACCUUUGAGGUGAUAUUGCCUACGGGCGAACCCAAGCUUCCUAAGAAUGAUGCUGACACAUUCAAGAAGCAAUGCGGAGUUCUCGUUAGGGAUCACGUCCCGAUCAGCGUUCGGGAGUGGAACAAGCGCAAAGGGGCAGCCGAUAGUGACUAUGUCGCCGAAAGGUACAAAGAUAAUCUUUGGAAUGAUCUCAUGUCACAUUUCAACCUGCCAGAAUGUGAGAAUGAAGACGUGGCAGACAAACUGAGGGCCAAAGUCAAGCAGUGGACUCUGAAGAAGAUGGCCGAACUGUUCCGUAGCUGGAAGAAGAAGCUAUGGAAAAACUAUCNNNNNNNNNNNNNNNNNNNNNNNNNNNNNNNNNNNNNNNNNNNNNNNNNNNNNNNNNNNNNNNNNNNNNNNNNNNNNNNNNNNNNNNNNNNNNNNNNNNNCGACCCAGAAGAAAACAGAAAUAAUAGAUAGGAAUAUUGGUGCAAUAAUGUAAUAAUGUAUUAAACCUUUUAUGUAAUGCAUGUAUGGAAUGUACUAAACCUUUUAGUUUUGAAUUAUUUAUUCAAUUUCAAACAAUUUUCAUUUUCAUAGUUUUGUCAAAUUCUCAAAUAUGCAAAAAGAAUUUUAAUAAACCUUUGUAAGAGAUGAGUUCUCGUUUGAAAUCGUGAUACUUUGAGAGAGAUUGUCCGUUUUGUAAACGAAGUGCAUCCAGUUUUUGUCGUAGCCCUCUCAACUUUUUAACACAUGCUAUGUGGGUAAAAUGAUGAUAGCAUGCCAACUUUCAACAUUUUCAGAGUUCAUUUGUAGUGCUUUUCAAUUUUAGGGUCAACUAGCUCAAAAAAGAUAAGUAAAUGCACGAAAAAUACCAAAUGAAGUCAGAAAUUGUUGAAAUUUUGUGAUGUGCCUUUGAUGGUGCAUUUUGAACACACAAAAAGUAUGGAGUUCAAAUACGUUCAUAAAAAAUGAAAUCCCUUUGUAAGAGAUGAGUUCUCGUUCGAAAUGUUGAUACUUUGAGAGAGAUUGUCUGUUUUGUACACGAAGUGCAUCCAGUUUUUGUCGUAGCCCUCUCAACUUNNNNNNNNNNNNNNNNNNNNNNNNNNNNNNNNNNNNNNNNNNNNNNNNNNNNNNNNNNNNNNNNNNNNNNNNNNNNNNNNNNNNNNNNNNNNNNNNNNNNUGAAGACACAGAAAGUGUCAGUAUUCGAGGGGUAUCCAGCCAAGCAGGUGAAUCACUCGAAGGCAUUUCAAGAGUACAAGGAGUCAGAAGAUGCCCAUGCAUUAUCAUAAAAGAACAAGAUAAAUGCCGACAAGAAGAAAUAUCACCACAAGCUGGGGCCAGGGGGCUAUGAGACUGCCAUCCUAAAGUGGGAUAAGAAAGAGCAAGAUUUGAUAGAUAAAGGCAUCGUACCUGAACCACUCCGUGAUGAGUGGGAAUUGAGAGCAAGAAAUUGGUUCCUUGCGCAUGGUGGGUCGUACGAUGAAACAACAGAGGACCUCAUCUGCAAUGACGAUCUUAGGAUACCCAAGGAGAAUUGGAAAAGGAUAGUGAAAGAAAUUAAGGAGGGACAAAGAAAGUUCACUGCAGAUAGAGAUAGAGAUUUGCUCACACUGGUCCUCGGCAAUGACGAACAUGGAGGACGAACGCGAGGCUUCGGUCCUUCUUACCCGUGGUGGCUUGGGUUUGCCAGAGACCAAGACACCUACAGAAGCCGAGAGAGAGCAAAGAAGCGGCAACAGGAUGAGGAGAAUGACAAGUUCAACCAGUUGCUUGUCAGGAUUAACGAGCAACAUAAACAGAUUGAUGAGCUUAGAGGAGUACCGCGCCAGGAAGAUCCUGCACUUGAUAUUACCGGCGCCCCAUCUAAGCGGAAAAGCAGCGUGGCUGAAUCUGAGGCCCCGCCCGACGAUGAAUGAAGAAUGAUAGAGGGCGGUCCCGGCUACCCCGUGGAUGGAAUCAAGGAGUCAACAUCAUGUGAACUCCAUCAGAAAUUCAAGAACAUAUCCAUGAAGGUGGCCGUCGGACAAGCUUUACCUUCUGGCCCUGAUGCACGCUGGCAUGGCCGUGAGAUUCCAGCUGGCUUUGCUAAAGUCGGGGUGGAUGAAAUCAUGACGGGGUUUAAUGAUAUGGAGCUCGACAUAGCUGGACCCGAAGAUGAGAGGACACUCGGAGAAGUACGGGGUGGAGUCAUCCUAUGGGACAAGAACUACAUCAAGCUUCCAGGCUCGGCCCCAAGGACAACAGCGCCUCUGAGUCGUCGCAGGUCACCUACACCUCCAUCACCUCCAAGCCCUCCACAUGACGACGGCCAGCACAACACGAGUCCAUCUCGAUCACCGCCGCUGGACUUCGGUCGUCCGUCUCCGCCGCCGCCCGCUCCGGAUACUAAGCGGAAGCGUGCCAGCAAGAACGCUCCGUCGAUGAUUUCUAAGCGACGGAGCUCCCCAAAGCGCAAACUAUCGCCCCUCCCAAAGGUACCUCAUGCUAAUCUUCCUAUCAGACCUUAUGAUCGUACCCCCGAGGAAAACGCCAGGAUAGCAAAGAAACAGCAUGAUGCGCAGAUGAAAAGGAAGGAACCCGAGCCUGCCGGGAAUACACCGAGAAGCACAUAGCAUGGGCAAAAGACUUCAUAACCACUCCAUCACAGUAUGACUUACACUAUAAGUCUGAUGACUAUACACGCACAUUGCAGAAGGAAGUGAAAAAGAGCAGCUCACAUGCAAGUGUAAGUGGGAGCAAAUCAAGUUCAACUACAGGCAAGAAAAAAUCAGACGUUCCUCAGCUUGGACAACAGGCCAAACAGUCGAUCCCACCCCUCAAGGUGUUAACCGAGAAUGUUCCCCUCCGGUGCAGGGGCAAGCUUUUGAAAUAGCAAAGGAGUUGGCGAAUGAAUGUGGUAUCUUGGUUGAAGAUUUGCUGGCUUCCCAAGACGACAGGAUACCCAAGGCUGUGGUAGCCCCUAAGCCACAAUUUGUUAUGGGAGAGCCUUUGGUCAGCAAAGAUGAUCUCCCAACAAAUAUGCGUUACUUGCANNNNNNNNNNAAUGGCACUUAAGUGAAUCAAAGAAUGGAAGAACGAUGAUCGUGGUGAGUGUCCCACGGGAGUACUACGGCCGCUCCGAAGAAAUCCAUAUCGACUUUGAUGAACUCUUCCAGAUGUACAAUGGCGACGCCCUCGACAAAUCGCUUAUGAGUUGCUAUUGUGUGUAAGUUUUUUAAUUCGUUGUCUACAUAUAACUUGUUUAGUUAUUUCAAUUCAUUGUCUAUAUAUAACUUGUACUCUAUUAUGCAGAAUGAAGAUUCUGGAGUGUAAAAGUAAGAGCAUCCUAAAUAUUGGGUUUAUUGACCCAGAUAAAAUACAUAUAGCGACGCUAACUGACAAACCCAAGGAGACGGAGGAAAACCUUCUAAGGUUUCUAACAGAUCAAAAUUUCUGUGAUCAAAUACUGUUUCUAUACAACUUCAGGUGAGGGUCUUUACUCUGUUGUGUCCAUUCACUUAUAAGUGUAAUUGAUAAGUUACUGACACACANNNNNNNNNNNNNNNNNNNNNNNNNNNNNNNNNNNNNNNNNNNNNNNNNNNNNNNNNNNNNNNNNNNNNNNNNNNNNNNNNNNNNNNNNNNNNNNNNNNNUCCUCUCCAAACCCUAGUUCAUCUCUUGUAACCAAUCUCUGUCUCGCGACUCCGAUUGGUACUUGUAAAGUUGCUAGUAGUGUUGAUUACUCUUUGUAGUUGAUGCUAGUUGUAUUACUUGGUGGAGGAGUUUAUGUUCAGAUCCUUGAUGCUACUCAUUACACCUCUGAUCAUGAUUAUGAUUAUGCUUUGUGAGUAGUUACUUUUGUUCCUGAGGACAUGGGAUAAGUCAUGCUAAUGAUAGUCAUGUGAAUUUGGUAUUCGUUCGGUAUUUUGAUAUGUUGUAUGUUGUCUUUUCCUCUAGUGGUGUUAUGUGAACGUCGACUACAUAACACUUCACCAUCUUUGGGCCUAGAGGAAGGCAUUGGGGAGUAGUAAGUAGAUGAUGGGUUGCUAGAGUGACAGAAGCUUAAACCCCAGUCUAUGCGUUGCUUCGUAAGGGGCUUAUUUGGAUCCACUAGUUUAAUGCUAUGGUUAGACGUUGUCUUAAUUCUUCUUUCGUAGUUUCGGAUGCUUGAGAGAGGGGUUAAUUAUAAGUGGGAUGCUUGUCCAAGCAAGGGCAGUACCCAAGCGCCGGUCCACCCACAUAUCGAAUUAUCAAAGUAACGAACGCGAAUCAUAUGAACAUGAUGAAACUAGCAUGACAGAAAUUUCCGUGUGUCCUCGGGAGCGUUUUUCCUCUUAUAAGACUUUGUUCAGGCUUGUCCCUUGCUACAAAAGGGUUUGGGCCACUUUGCUGCACCCUUGCUAAUCUUGUUACUUGUUAGUUUUCACCUGCUACAUUUCACCUCACUACACCAUCACUUGUUACCGCUACUUUCAGUGCUUGCAGUUAUUACCUUGCUGAAAACCGUUUAUCAGAGCCUUCCGCUCCUCGUUGGGUUCGCCACUCUUACUUAUCGAAAGGACUACGAUUGGUCCCCUAUACUUGUGGGUCAUCAAGGUGCUCUACAGGUAUCUGCAAAGGUGUCCGUUGGGUUGGCAUGGAUCAAGACUGGGAUUUGUCACUCUGUGUGAUGGAGAGGUAUCUAGGGGCUCACUCGGUAAUACAACAUCACAACAAGCCUUGAAAGCAAUUUGACUAAGGAGUUGUUGGAAAUAUGCCCUAGAGGCAAUGAUGAAUAGUUAUUAUUAUAUUUCCUGUUACAAGAUAAUCAUUUAUUAUCCAUGAUAUAAUUUUAUUGAAUGAAAACAUAGAUACAUGUGUGGAUACAUAGACAAAACAAUGUCCCUAGCAAGCCUCUAGUUGGUUGGCGAGUUGAUCAAUGAUAGUCAAGGUUUUCUGAUUAUAUGCAAGUGUUGUCACUUGAUAACUGAAUCAUGUGAUGGACUAGACCCAAACUAUGAACGUAGCAUAUUGAUCGUGUCAUUUUAUUGCUAUUGUUUUCUGCGUGUCAAGUAUUUAUUCCUAUGACCAUGAGAUCAUAUAACUCACUGGCACCGGAGGAAUACCUUGUGUGUAUCAAACGUCGCAACGUAACUCGGCGACUAUAAAGGUGCUCUACAGGUAUCUCCGAAGGUGUCCGUUGAGUUAGUAUGGAUCAAGACUGGGAUUUGUCACUCCAUGUGAUGGAGAGGUAUCUCGGGGCCCACUCGGUAAUACAACAUCACACACAAGCCUUGCAAGCAAUGUGACUAAGUGUAAGUCACGUGAUCUUGUAUUACAGAACGAGUAAAUAGACUUGCCGGUAACGAGAUUGAAAUAGGUAUGCGGAUACCGACGAUCAAAUCUCGGGCAAGUAACAUACCGAAGGACAAAGGGAAUGACAUGCGGGAUUAUAUGAAUCCUUGACACUGAGGUUCAACCGAUAAUAUCUUCGGAGAAUAUGUAGGAUCCAAUAUGGGCAUCCAGGUCCCACUAUUGGAUAUUGACCGAGGAGUGCCUCGGGGCAUGUCUACAUAGUUCUCGAACCCGCAGGGUCUGCACACUUAAGGUUCGGCGAUGUUUUAGUAUAGUUGAGUUAUAUGUGUGUUUACCGAAUGUUGUUUGGAGUCCCGGAUGAGAUCACGGACGUCACGAGGCUUUCCGGAAUGGUUCGGAAACGAAGAUUGAUAUAUAGGAUGGUUUCAUUUGGUCACCGGAAAGUUUUGGGCAAUUUCGACAGUGUACUGGGAGCGACGAAUGGGUUCUGGGAGUUCACCGGGAGGGGCCCACCCACCCGGGAGUGAGCCCAAGGCACUAGGGUGGCGCCACAGGUCCUUAGUGGGCUGGUGGAGUCAGCCCAAGGGACCCAUGGCACCACAUAAGAAAACACCAAAGGAAAAUAAAAGAAAAAGGGAAAGAGGGAGGUGGGAAGGAAGGGGAGGACUCCUCCUUCCCAAACCGAAUUGGAGGAGGAGUCCUCCUCCUCCCUUGGCCGGCGCACCCUUGAAGCCUUGUGCCUCAAGGCUAGCCCUCCCCCACCCUCCUAUAUAUAGUGGUGUUUUAGGGCUGAUUUGAGACAACUUUUGCCACGUGCAACUCAACCCUAGACCACAUAGUUCUACCUCUAGAUCGGAUUUCUGCGGAGCUCGGGCGGAACCCUGCAGGAGUAGAUCAUCACCAGCACCGGAGCGCCAUCACGUUGCCGAAGAACUCAUCUACUUCUUCGUCUUGCUUGCUGGAUCAAGAAGGCUGAGAUCGUCAUCGAGUUGUACGUGUGCUGAACGCGGAGGUGACGUCCGUUCGGCACUAGAUCGGGACGGUUCGUGGACGGAUCGCGGGAUGGUUCGUGGGACGGUUCAAGGGACGUGAAGACGUUCCAUUACAUCAACCGCGUUUCUUAACGCUUCCUACCGUGCGAUCUACAAGGGUACGUAGAUCCAAAUCUCCACUCGUAGAUGGACAUCACCAUGGUAGGUCUUCGUGUGCGUAGGAAAUUUUUUGUUUCCCAUGCAACGUUCCCCAACAAUAUGGAUAUAUAUGAAACUUUGUAUGCAUGGAUGAAACUAGUGUAAUAUAUGGUUUGGUACGUGAUACGUCUCCAUCGUAUCUACUUUUCCAAACUCUUUUUCCCUUGUUUUGGACUCUAAUUUGCAGGAUUUUAAUGGAACUAACCUGGACUGACGCUGUUUUCAGCAGAAUUGCCUUGGUGUUAUUUUUCUGCAGAAAUCAAAGUUCUCCAAACGUCCUGAAAAUUUACGGGGAGCAUUUUUGGAAAAUAUGAAAAAUAUUUGUGCCAAGUUCCACCUAAGGGGGUGGGCCAGUGGGCCACAAGCCCUGGCUCCGCCACCACCGCGUGGUGGCGGUGGGCAGGCGUGUGGGGGCCCACACGGCUCUGCCGCCCCCAAUUCCAGCUCUAUAAGUUCACUUUCGUCCCAGAAAAAAUAAAAAAAGAGAAGUUUUCGUCGCGUUUGCGAUACGGAGGCGUCGCCACCACCUGUUCUUCAUCUGGAGGGCGGAUCUGGAGUCCGUCUUGGGCUCCGGAGAGGGGAAAUCGUCGCCAUCGUCAUCAUCAACCUUCUUCCCUCUCCAAUUACAUGAACCUCUUCAUCGUUCGUGCGUAAUCUAUUCGUAGGCUCGCUGGGCGGUGAUGAGUAGGAUGAGAUCUAUCAUGUAAUCGACUUAGUUUUGAUGGGGAUUGAUCCCUAGUAUCCACUAUGUUCCGAGAUUNNNNNNNNNNAUUCUGGUUAUGAGUUAGACAUAGUUGCAACAACAAGAUCAAACAGAGUUUGUCAAAGUUUUUCUUUCUCUCUCAGUUUGUCAACUGAGUUGCUUGAGGACAAGCAAGGUUUUAAGCUUGGGGAGUUGAUACGUCUCCAUCGUAUCUACUUUUCCAAACUCUUUUGCCCUUGUUCUCGACUCUAAUUUGUAUGAUUUGAAUGGAACUAACCUGGACUGACGUUGUUUUCAGCACAAUUGCCUUGGUGUUAUUUUUGUGCAGAAAUCAAAGUUCUCCAAACUUCCUGAAAAUUUACGGGGAGCAUUUUUGGAAAAUAUGGAAAAUAUCUGCGCCAAGUUCCACGUGAGGAGGUGGGCCAGUGGGCCACAAGCCCUGGCUCCGCCACCACCCCCCUGGUGGCGGUGGGCAGGCUUGUGGGGCCCACACGGCUCUACCGCCCCCAAUUCCAGCUCUAUAAGUUCAUUUUCGUCCCAGAAAAAAUAAAAAAAGAGAAGUUUUCGUCGCGUUUGCGAUACGGAGGCGUCGCCACCACCUGUUCUUCAUCUGGAGGGCGGAUCUGGAGUCCGUCUUGGGCUCCGGAGAGGGGAAAUCGUCGCCAUCGUCAUCAUCAACCUUCUUCCCUCUCCAAUUCUAUGAAGCUCUUCAUCGUUCGUGAGUAAUCUAUUCGUAGGCUCGCUGGGCGUUGAUGAGUAGGAUGAGAUCUAUCAAUCGAGUUAGUUUUGAUGGGGAUUGAUCCCUAGUAUCCACUAUGUUCCGAGAUUGAUGUUGCUACUACUUUGCCAUGCUUAAUGCUUGUCACUAGGGCCCGAGUGCCAUGAUUUCAGAUCUGAAAUUAUUAUGUUGUCACCAAUAUAUGUGUGUUUUAGAUCCGAUCUUGCAAGUUGUAGUUAGCUACUAUGUGUUAUGAUCCGGCAACCCCGGAGUGACAAUAACCGGAACCACUCCCGGUGAUGACCAUAGUUUGAGGAGUUCAUGUGUUCACCAAGUGCUAAUGCGUUGGUCCGGUUCUUUAUUAAAAGGAGAACCUUAAUAUCCCGUAGUUUCCUGUUGGACCCCACUGCCACGGGACGGAUGGACAAUAGAUGUCAUGCAAGUUCUUUUCCCUAAGCACGUAUGACGACACACGGAAUGCAUGCCUACAUCACAUUGACGAACGGGAGCUAGCCACAUAUCUCUCCGUGUUAUAACUGUUGCAUGAUGAAUAUCAUCCAAACAAAUCACCGACCCAUUGCCUACGAGUUUGUCAUACUGCUGCUGUUACUACUAUUGCUACUGUUGUUACUUGUCUUGGUAUGCUACUACUGUCGCUUGCUGUUGUUUCUACUUGCUACUGCUGUCACUACUGCUUUUCCUUGCCGCUGCUAUUGCNNNNNNNNNNUGAGUUUGUCCUACUGCUGCUGUUACUACUAUUGCUACUGUUGUUACUUGUCUUGCUUUGCUGCUACUGUUGCUACUACUGUCGCUUGCUGUUGUUGCUACUUGCUACUGCUGUCACUACUGCUUUUCCUUGCCGCUGCUAUUGCUCGUUACACUGCUGCUACCUGCUACAAUUUUGGUUCACUGGUCGUUGACGGGAACUGACAACUCCCUUCAACGAGGCAACUUGGCGCCAUUGAUACAAUCGUUAGAAAUAGUCUGCCGUGUCAACAGAUCGUUUCUGACACCGUUGUUAUCAUACUACUUUGUUGUUACUACUUUGCUUGCAGAUACUAAUCUUUCAGGCGUGGUUGAAUCUGACAUAUUCAGCUGCUAAUACUUGAGAGUAUCCUCUCACCUCCUAUAGGCGUACCAACAAAUUUGGGUUGAAUACUCUACCCUCGAAAACUGCUACGAUCCCAUGCGCUGGUGGGCCAUCAACAACAUUCUUCUAGUUUCGAUUGCCGGAGAGUGCUAGCAACAUUCUUCUCGUGCUGUUGCAAGGGGAAGAACAGUUGACAUCAGUACGGAUGCAACUUGCAUAAUAUGUAUGUAUUAUGGAUGAAAUUUAUUUUAAUAUGGUUAUGAGUACGGAAACAAAAUUAUUUCUAUCAAAUAUAUAUAUAUAUAUAUAUAUAUAUCCUGAUUAUUGUGAAAAUUAUUCCUGAUUUGUGUGAAAAUUGAUGGAUAUUAUAGAAAAUAAAAUAAACAAGGGAUGUUUUGAGCCUUUGCCGUCCGCCCACCGACGGCAAAGGGCAUGCAGCAGACGGCAAAGGCUCAAACAUGACUGGGCUGAAACACGCUGGGGUGCCCCCUUUGCCAUCGGCCUCAGACAUGGCUGACGGCAAAGGGGGAGGGCAAACGACAAAGGUGGAGGGAGAGACGGGUUGGGUGCCCCCCUUUGCCGUCGGCCUCAAACAUGGCUGAUGACAAAGGAGGGAGGGCACACAUCAAAGGGGGUCUAGGGAAGACGACAAAGGGGGGGGUGGGCCCAGCAGGCUGCCGUUAGCACUUAACGGGAGCGCUUGCGGAUCUGUCGUCCCAUUUUGUUUGCCGUCAGCCCCCCAUGGCAAAGAUUUUUUGUCGUCCGCCUUCCAAAGGCAGCAAAGAACCUCUUCACCGGAUAAAUCUUUGUCGUCUAGUUUGCCGUCCGCUGACGGACGACAAAGGCUUUGCCGUCCGGCGUGCCCCUCUUUGCCGUAUGCCAUGGCGGACGGCAAAGUUUCUGAUCCCUGUAGUNNNNNNNNNNNNNNNNNNNNNNNNNNNNNNNNNNNNNNNNNNNNNNNNNNNNNNNNNNNNNNNNNNNNNNNNNNNNNNNNNNNNNNNNNNNNNNNNNNNNGCGGAGCGCCCGCUCGUGCCCGGUCCACCCCUUAUCUGCCCUAGGUUUUGACUGGAUAUGAUGGGCACCGGAGAGCCCCGAGUCUUUGAGGCUUGUGGAGGAGAAGUUGGACCCCUUUAUAAGGGUCUCUCUUCCACAUGCUAUUGGAGAGUGAGAAGAGAAGGUGCCCUCGCGCACUCCUCCUCCGCCGCCCGCCUCGCCACGCCACGCCUCGUCACGACGCGCCGCGGGUUGCGGGAAUGAGCCGAGCCGAGCUCAUACCUACGCGCUUAUUUUUGCCGGUCANNNNNNNNNNNNNNNNNNNNNNNNNNNNNNNNNNNNNNNNNNNNNNNNNNNNNNNNNNNNNNNNNNNNNNNNNNNNNNNNNNNNNNNNNNNNNNNNNNNNNNNNNNNNNNNNNNNNNNNNNNNNNNNNNNNNNNNUACGUAACGGACAAGGCACGAUCCGAGACGUCGGAUCAUGGUUGUUACCGACUCGGACGUGGGUUUGGCCCACGUCUCUCCACCCAGCCGCCUUUAUAAGCAGGCUAUCGCCUACCCUAGCCGUCACGAGAAUCAGAUCACAUCUGCCUCACGCGUUCGUUCCUUGAUUGCUGCUGCCGCCGGCGACUCCGUCCCGUUUACCGCGUACACGGUCGACGGGAGAGCAGGCCUCCGAAACCUCGCCUCUCCGGUUCCUGUAGGGAGAGGGGCGAUUAGGUUUUUGGGGAGCGAUCACGCGACUGCUCGCCUCCGUCNNNNNNNNNNNNNNNNNNNNNNNNNNNNNNNNNNNNNNNNNNNNNNNNNNNNNNNNNNNNNNNNNNNNNNNNNNNNNNNNNNNNNNNNNNNNNNNNNNNNCCCGGGACUAAAGGGUGGUCUUUAGUCCCGGCUCGAGCCCCGACCCGGGACUAAAGGCUUGGGCUGGCGGCAUUCCAAAGUUUAGUCCCACCUCGCUUGUCGAGAGGAGCCGCCACUGGUUUAUAAGCCCCGUUGUCCCAACCGUGUCGAGCUCCUCUUUAAAGCAGGCUUACAGGCCUAAACAGAUUGUAAAUUUAAAAAUUGAAAAUAUAUUUGAAAUUAUGGACAAAAUUCAACCUGAAUUCAAAGUGAGGUCACUUCGAAUUUAGGUUGAAUUUUCUCUAUAAAUUCUCAUAUAGUUUAAUUUUUUUCCCAUUAUUUUUGUUUUGUUCUUUGCUUUAUUUAUUUUCUUUUUUAUAAGCUAUUAACUACUUUGUUAUUUUCAAUUAAAAACUAUGUUUAUUAAAAUUCUUUUUGCAUAUUUGAGAAUUUGACAAAACUAUAAAAAUGAAAAGUGUUUGAAAUUGAAUAAAUAAUUCAAAACUAUUUUCUAUUUUCAAAAUUAAUUAUUUUGACUAUCCAAACUAUUAACUAUUUUGUUAUUUUCAAUUAAAAAUAUGUUUAUUAAAAUUCUUUUUGCAUAUUUGAGAAUUUGACAAAACUAUAAAAAUGAAAAGUGUUUGAAAUUGAAUAAAUAAUUCAAAACUAUUUUCUAUUUUCAAAAUUAAUUAUUUUGACUAUCCAAACAAUUAACUAUUUUGUUAUUUUCAAGUAAAAACUAUGUUUAUUAAAAUUCUUUUUGCAAAUUUGAGAAUUUGACAAAAUUAUGAAAAUGAAAAGUGUUUGAAAUUGAAUAAAUAAUUCAAAACUAUUNNNNNNNNNNNNNNNNNNNNNNNNNNNNNNNNNNNNNNNNNNNNNNNNNNNNNNNNNNNNNNNNNNNNNNNNNNNNNNNNNNNNNNNNNNNNNNNNNNNNAAGUUGAGAGGGCUACGACAAAAACUGGAUGCACUUCGUGUACAAAACGGACAAUCUCUCUCGAAGUAUCAACGUUUUGAACGAGAACUCAUCUCUCACGAAGGGAUUUCAUUUUUUUGAACUUAUUUGAACUCCAUAAUUUUUGUGUAUUCAAAAUGCACCAUUCAAAGGCACAUCACAAAAUUUCAACAAUUUCUGACUUCAUUUGGUAUUUUUCAUGCAUUUACUUAUUUUUUUUGAGCUAGUUGACCCUAAAAUUGAAAAGCACUACAAAUGAACUNNNNNNNNNNNNNNNNNNNNNNNNNNNNNNNNNNNNNNNNNNNNNNNNNNNNNNNNNNNNNNNNNNNNNNNNNNNNNNNNNNNNNNNNNNNNNNNNNNNNNNNNNNNNNNNNNNNNNNNNNNNNNNNNNNNNNNNNNNNNNNNNNNNNNNNNNNNNNNNNNNNNNNNNNNNNNNNNGAAGAGGGUUACGACAAAAACUGGAUGCACUUCGUGUACAAAACAGACAAUCUCUCUCGAAGUAUGAGGGUUUCGAACGAGAACUCAUCUAUUGCAAAGGGAUUUCAUUUUUUGAACUUAUUUGAACUCCAUACUUUUUGUGUGUUUAAAAUGCACCAUUCAAAGGCACAUCACAAAUUUUCAACAAUUUCUGACUUAAUUUGGUAUAUUUCAUGCAUUUACUUUUGUUUUUUUGGGCUAGUUGACCCUAAAAUUGAAAAGCACUACAAAUGAACUCUGAAAAUNNNNNNNNNNNNNNNNNNNNNNNNNNNNNNNNNNNNNNNNNNNNNNNNNNNNNNNNNNNNNNNNNNNNNNNNNNNNNNNNNNNNNNNNNNNNNNNNNNNNUAGCCCGUGCGCAGCUCCGUCAGGACAGCGCGACCGCAACGCCCCUGUCGGUCGCUCCUUCAUGCGGGCAGCGGUGGGUGGUAGUGUCUGGAUGUUGUCCCUCACACGUAUUCCGGAAUCAGUGGGCAAGGGGGAGGGACGCGGUGGAGUAGUAUGUGCACCGCAACGACGGGAUGCAGGUGGAACCCGACAAGGACUAGCGGCUGCUCGCAUGAGUCUACCGUCGGUCUCUCACGAGGCAGAGGUGGACACUUGCCGUCUAUGAUGGAAGAAUGUCAAGGCGCUGCGACUUACUAUUGAGCAGUCAAAGCGCGAGACGAAGGUGUUGAGUAAAUAGGCAAUUUUCCGAGUAGAUUAAUCCAUGAAAUAAUUACUAACAUGGCAUNNNNNNNNNNNNNNNNNNNNNNNNNNNNNNNNNNNNNNNNNNNNNNNNNNNNNNNNNNNNNNNNNNNNNNNNNNNNNNNNNNNNNNNNNNNNNNNNNNNNNNNNNNNNNNNNNNNNNNNNNNNNNNNNNNNNNNNNNNNNNNNNNNCCGGCGGCGGCAGUAUCCUCUACCGCCUUCUUCUCGGCUUCGGCCUUCUCGCGGAGACGNNNNNNNNNNAACAGGAGAGAGACAAACACAUCAUACCCUCCGAUCGGCCAGUUGGCCGUAGCAGCAGCGGCGGCGGCGGAAGUAUCCUCUACCGCCUUCUUCUCGGCUUCGGCCUUCUCGCGGAGACGGUCAGCUUCGCUUGGUGAAGACUUGNNNNNNNNNNNNNNNNNNNNNNNNNNNNNNNNNNNNNNNNNNNNNNNNNNNNNNNNNNNNNNNNNNNNNNNNNNNNNNNNNNNNNNNNNNNNNNNNNNNNUAUUGGCAGCAGAAGAGCUUUCCACCGCUUUUCCAUUGGAGUCCUUUGUUCUCGAGUUCUGCUCAACACUCAGAUGGCCGAUGAUGUCCUCUACUGAGAACGCACGCCUCUGAUGUUUCAGAGUAGUAGCAAAGUUCCUCCAGGAAUUAGGGAGCUUAGCAAUUAUACAGCCCGCGACAAACUUGCCCGGCAAAUUGCACUUAAGAACCUCAAGUUCCUUAGCUAUGCAUAUUAUCUCAUGAGCUUGUUCCAAUACAGAACGGUUGUCAACCAUCUUGUAAUCGUGGAACUGCUCCAUAACAUACAUCUCACUCCCUCCAUCGGUGGCCCCGAAUUUAGAUUCGAGCGCCUCCCACAAGUCCUUGGCAACAAGCAUAUGUAAAUAUGCAUCAACCAGCUUAUCUCCGAUCACGCUAAUGANNNNNNNNNNAGCAUCGGUGGCCCCAAAUUUAGAUUCGAGCGCCUCCCACAAUUCCUUGGCAACAUGCAUAUGUAAAUAUGCAUCAACCAGCUUAUCUCCGAUCACGCUAAUGACUGCUCCAAGGAAUAGGACGGUGGCCUCCUUAAACAUCUUCUCUUGUUCAGGAGUGAUAGUUUCCGUAGGAGUGACACCGGCUACCCAGAACACGUUCAUAGCUGUGAGCCAUAAGGUGGUUCUCGUUUGCCAACGCUUGAAAAAAGUACCGAUAAACUUAUCCGGUUUCAGUGCAGCAGCAAAACCAUUACUCGAAAAAUUCCUAUAGACAUUAGGUUUUUGGAUUGUUGAGUAAAUAGGCAAUUUUACGAGUAGAUUAAUCCAUGAAAUAAUUACUAACAUGGCAUUGACUAGGUNNNNNNNNNNCGGACAUUAGGUUUUUGGAUUGUUGAGUAAAUAUGCAAUUUUCCGAGUAGAUUAAUCCAUGAAAUAAUUACUAACAUGGCAUUGACUAGGUUCAUGACAUACUGAUCAUGGAGUAUACUAGCAAGUACUACACAUAUAGCAGAAACAUCUACGCAUAUAGGCAAUACUACUAGUGCAGAUAGAGACAGGAGAGAGACAAACACAUCAUACCCUCCGAUCGGCCAGUUGGCUGUAGCAGCAGCGGCGGCGGCGGCAGUAUCCUCUGCCGCCUUCUUCUCUGCUUCGGCCUUCUCGCGGAGACGGUCAGCUUCGCUUGGUGAAGACAUGGCGAUGAUGAGGGCGACGCGGACGUAGACGAAGCAGACGGACGGAGGCGAGCAGUCGCGUGAUCGCUCCCCAAAAACCUAAUCGCCCUCUCCCGUACAGGAACCGGAGAGGCGAGGUUUCGGAGGCCUUUUCUCCCGUCGACCGUGUACGCGGUCAACGGGACGGAGUCGCCGGCGGCAGCAGCAGUCAAGGAACGAACACAGAAGGGAGCCACUAACGAGAUUCUUCUUGAUGGCGGGGACAUGCUGCACGUUCUUCAGCUGCACGAUCCAUCCUGAAGUAAACUUCAGAUCGACCGUGCCAACACCAAGAACAGAAGCACUCGCGCCAUUCCCCAUCAAUACGGACCCGCGACCGGUGGCCUGAUAAGAAGAGAACAAUGAUAAGUCAGCACACACAUGAAUAUUUGCACCCGUGUCCACCCACCAAUCGGUGGACUGACAAACUGUAAAUACAGUAAGUAAAUUACCGUAGCCAGAUGCACCACUUUCAUUGUUGCCCACAAUCAUAUUGGCAGACUUGGAGUCCUGCGCCGGCUUCUUGUACUUGUUUGGGCAUUUGUUCGCCCAAUGUUCCUCUGAACCACAAGUAUAGCAGCCAUCUCCCUUCAUAUUCUUCUUGAAGGGCUUCUUUCCCUUCUUUUUGAAUUCGGUAUUCUGUUGGACAGAAUUCUUUCCCUUGGGCUUGUGAGAAUUGNNNNNNNNNNUUGAACCACAAGUAUAGCAACCAUCUCCCUUCUUAUUCUUCUUGAAGGGCUUCUUUCCCUUCUUCUUGAAGUCGGUAUUCUGUUGGACAGAAUUCUUUCCCUUGGGCUUGUGAGAAUUGAAGUUCCUCUGAUGUACCAUAUUGGCAGCAGAAGAGCUUUCCACCGCUUUUCCAUUGGAGUCCUUUGCUCUUGAGUUCUACUCAACACUCAGAUGGCCGAUGAUGUCCUCUACUAAGAACUCACGCCUCUGAUGUUUCAGAGUAGUAGCAAAGUUCCUCCAGGAAUUAGNNNNNNNNNNNNNNNNNNNNNNNNNNNNNNNNNNNNNNNNNNNNNNNNNNNNNNNNNNNNNNNNNNNNNNNNNNNNNNNNNNNNNNNNNNNNNNNNNNNNACAUGAACCUCUUCAUCGUUCGUGCGUAAUCUAUUCGUAGGCUCGCUGGGCGGUGAUGAGUAGGAUGAGAUCUAUCAUGUAAUCGACUUAGUUUUGAUGGGGAUUGAUCCCUAGUAUCCACUAUGUUCCGAGAUUGAUGUUGCUACUACUUUGCCAUGCUUAAUGCUUGUCACUAGGGCCCGAGUGCCAUGAUUUCAGAUCUGAAAUUAUUAUGUUGUCACCAAUAUAUGUGUGUUUUAGAUCCGAUCUUGCAAGUUGUAGUUAGCUACUAUGUGUUAUGAUCCGGCAACCCCGGAGUGACAAUAACCGGAACCACUCCCGGUGAUGACCAUAGUUUGAGGAGUUCAUGUGUUCACCAAGUGCUAAUGCGUUGGUCCGGUUCUUUAUUAAAAGGAGAACCUUAAUAUCCCGUAGUUUCCUGUUGGACCCCACUGCCACGGGACGGAUGGACAAUAGAUGUCAUGCAAGUUCUUUUCCCUAAGCACGUAUGACGACACACGGAAUGCAUGCCUACAUCACAUUGACGAACGGGAGCUAGCCACAUAUCUCUCCGUGUUAUAACUGUUGCAUGAUGAAUAUCAUCCAAACAAAUCACCGACCCAUUGCCUAUGAGUUUGUCCUACUGCUGCUGUUACUACUAUUGCUACUGUUGUUACUUGUCUUGCUUUGCUGCUACUGUUGCUACUACUGUCGCUUGCUGUUGUUGCUACUUGCUACUGCUGUCACUACUGCUUUUCCUUGCCGCUGCUAUUGCNNNNNNNNNNUGUCAUACUGCUGCUGUUACUACUAUUGCUACUGUUGUUACUUGUCUUGGUAUGCUACUACUGUCGCUUGCUGUUGUUUCUACUUGCUACUGCUGUCACUACUGCUUUUCCUUGCCGCUGCUAUUGCUCGUUACACUGCUGCUACCUGCUACAAUUUUGGUUCACUGGUCGUUGACGGGAACUGACAACUCCCUUCAACGAGGCAACUUGGCGCCACUGGUACAAUCGUUAGAAAUAGUUUGUCGUGUCAAUAGAUCAUUUCUGACACCGUUGUUAUCAUACUACUUUGUUGUUACUACUUUACUUGCAGAUAUUAAUCUUUCAGGUGUGGUUGAAUCUGACAUAUUCAGCUGCUAAUACUUGAGAGUAUCCUCUNNNNNNNNNNNNNNNNNNNNNNNNNNNNNNNNNNNNNNNNNNNNNNNNNNNNNNNNNNNNNNNNNNNNNNNNNNNNNNNNNNNNNNNNNNNNNNNNNNNNAUAAGUAAAUGCACGAAAAAUACCAAAUGAAGUCAGAAAUUGUUGAAAUUUUAUGAUGUGCCUUUGAAUGGUGCAUUUUGAACACACAAAAAGUAUGGAGUUUAAAUAAGUUCAAAAAAAUGAAAUCCCUUUGUAAGAGAUGAGUUCUCGUUCGAAAUGUUGAUACUUUGAGAGAGAUUGUCUGUUUUGUACACGAAGUGCAUCCAGUUUUUGUCGUAGCCCUCUCAACUUUUUAACACAUGCUAUGUGGGUAAAAUGAUGAUAGCAUGCCAACUUUCAACAUUUUCAGAGUUCAUUUGUAGUGCUUUUCAAUUUUAGGGUCAACUAGCCCAAAAAAACAAAAGUAAAUGCAUGAAAUAUACCAAAUUAAGUCAGAAAUUGUUGAAAAUUUGUGAUGUGCCUUUGAAUGGUGCAUUUUAAACACACAAAAAGUAUGGAGUUCAAAUAAGUUCAAAAAAUGAAAUCCCUUUGCAAUAGAUGAGUUCUCGUUCGAAACCCUCAUACUUCGAGAGAGAUUGUCUGUUUUGUACACGAAGUGCAUCCAGUUUUUGUCGUAACCCUCUUCACUUUUUAGCACAUGCUAUGUGGGUGAAAUGAUGAUACCAUGCCAACUUUCAACAUUUUCAGAGUUCAUUUGUAGUGCUUUUCAAUUUUAGGGUCAACUAGCUCAAAAAAAAUAAGUAAAUGCAUGAAAAAUACCAAAUGAAGUCAGAAAUUGUUGAAAUUUUGUGAUGUGCCUUUGAUGGUGCAUUUUGAACACACAAAAAGUAUGGAGUUCAAAUACGUUCAUAAAAGAUGAAAUCCCUUUGUAAGAGAUGAGUUCUCGUUCGAAACCCUCAUACAUCGUUUAAUUGAAAAUAACAAAAUAGUUAAUAAUUUGGAUAGUCAAAAUAAUUAAUUUUGAAAAUAGAAAAUAGUUUUGAANNNNNNNNNNAUGGUGCAUUUUGAAUACACAAAAAUUAUGGAGUUCAAAUAAGUUCAAAAAAAUGAAAUCCCUUCGUGAGAGAUGAGUUCUCGUUCAAAACGUUGAUACUUCGAGAGAGAUUGUCCGUUUUGUACACGAAGUGCAUCCAGUUUUUGUCGUAGCCCUCUCAACUUNNNNNNNNNNNNNNNNNNNNNNNNNNNNNNNNNNNNNNNNNNNNNNNNNNNNNNNNNNNNNNNNNNNNNNNNNNNNNNNNNNNNNNNNNNNNNNNNNNNNUCUCCUCCUCACCGGCACGACGGCGGCGGUGGCGUCCCCGCCGGCGGGCGCCGGCGGCUCGUCCUUCGGGUUCGGCAUGGGGAGGAGGGGGCGGGGGGCUUAACGGAGCAGGAGGGGAGGGGGUCGACCGGCGGGGACAAGGGCGCGCGAGGAGGUCCGGCGCCAGCGAGGAGGACGGCAGGGCGACGGCGAGGAGGACAGCAGGGCAAUGGCGACGGCGGGCAGCCUCGCGGCGUCGAGCAGUUCGUCCGGUGCCGCGCCGGGCAGGAGAGGCGAGCGAGAGGAAGAAGAGAACGAAAAGGCGUUUGGAUUUGGAUUUUCGUCGGGGCCGUAUAUAUAGUAGGAUCUUUAGUCCCGGUUCGGGGCUCGAACCGGGACUAAAGGCACGACCCGAGACUAAAGACCCUUUUUCGGCAGACCAAAAGGCGGGAAGCACGGGCCUUUCGUCCCGGGUCGUGGCUCCACCCGGGACUAAAGGGUGGUCUUUAGUCCCGGCUCGAGCCCCGACCCGGGACUAAAGGCUUGGGCUGGCGGCAUUCCAAAGUUUAGUCCCACCUCGCUUGUCGAGAGGAGCCGCCACUGGUUUAUAAGCCCCGUUGUCCCAACCGUGUCGAGCUCCUCUUUAAAGCAGGCUUACAGGCCUAAACAGAUUGUAAAUUUAAAAAUUGAAAAUAUAUUUGAAAUUAUGGACAAAAUUCAACCUGAAUUCAAAGUGAGGUCACUUCGAAUUUAGGUUGAAUUUUCUCUAUAAAUUCUCAUAUAGUUUAAUUUUUUUCCCAUUAUUUUUGUUUUGUUCUUUGCUUUAUUUAUUUUCUUUUUUAUAAGCUAUUAACUACUUUGUUAUUUUCAAUUAAAAACUAUGUUUAUUAAAAUUCUUUUUGCAUNNNNNNNNNNNNNNNNNNNNNNNNNNNNNNNNNNNNNNNNNNNNNNNNNNNNNNNNNNNNNNNNNNNNNNNNNNNNNNNNNNNNNNNNNNNNNNNNNNNNAGUCAGCACACACAUGAAUAUUUGCACCCGUGUCCACCCACCAAUCGGUGGACUGACAAACUGUAAAUACAGUAAGUAAAUUACCGUAGCCAGAUGCACCACUUUCAUUGUUGCCCACAAUCAUAUUGGCAGACUUGGAGUCCUGCGCCGGCUUCUUGUACUUGUUUGGGCAUUUGUUCGCCCAAUGUUCCUUUGAACCACAAGUAUAGCAACCAUCUCCCUUCUUAUUCUUCUUGAAGGGCUUCUUUCCCUUCUUCUUGAAGUCGGUAUUCUGUUGGACAGAAUUCUUUCCCUUGGGCUUGUGAGAAUUGNNNNNNNNNNCUGAACCACAAGUAUAGCAGCCAUCUCCCUUCAUAUUCUUCUUGAAGGGCUUCUUUCCCUUCUUUUUGAAUUCGGUAUUCUGUUGGACAGAAUUCUUUCCCUUGGGCUUGUGAGAAUUGAAGUUCCUCUGAUGUACCAUAUUGGCAGCAGAAGAGCUUUCCACCGCUUUUCCAUUGGAGUCCUUUGCUCUUGAGUUCUACUCAACACUCAGAUGGCCGAUGAUGUCCUCUACUAAGAACUCACGCCUCUGAUGUUUCAGAGUAGUAGCAAAGUUCCUCCAGGAAUUAGNNNNNNNNNNUUCUCGAGUUCUGCUCAACACUCAGAUGGCCGAUGAUGUCCUCUACUGAGAACGCACGCCUCUGAUGUUUCAGAGUAGUAGCAAAGUUCCUCCAGGAAUUAGGGAGCUUAGCAAUUAUACAGCCCGCGACAAACUUGCCCGGCAAAUUGCACUUAAGAACCUCAAGUUCCUUAGCUAUGCAUAUUAUCUCAUGAGCUUGUUCCAAUACAGAACGGUUGUCAACCAUCUUGUAAUCGUGGAACUGCUCCAUAACAUACAUCUCACUCCCUCCAUCGGUGGCCCCGAAUUUAGAUUCGAGCGCCUCCCACAAGUCCUUGGCAACAAGCAUAUGUAAAUAUGCAUCAACCAGCUUAUCUCCGAUCACGCUAAUGANNNNNNNNNNAGCAUCGGUGGCCCCAAAUUUAGAUUCGAGCGCCUCCCACAAUUCCUUGGCAACAUGCAUAUGUAAAUAUGCAUCAACCAGCUUAUCUCCGAUCACGCUAAUGACUGCUCCAAGGAAUAGGACGGUGGCCUCCUUAAACAUCUUCUCUUGUUCAGGAGUGAUAGUUUCCGUAGGAGUGACACCGGCUACCCAGAACACGUUCAUAGCUGUGAGCCAUAAGGUGGUUCUCGUUUGCCAACGCUUGAAAAAAGUACCGAUAAACUUAUCCGGUUUCAGUGCAGCAGCAAAACCAUUACUCGAAAAAUUCCUACGGACAUUAGGUUUUUGGAUUGUUGAGUAAAUAUGCAAUUUUCCGAGUAGAUUAAUCCAUGAAAUAAUUACUAACAUGGCAUNNNNNNNNNNUGGUCGCUCCUUCACGCGGGCAGCGGUGGGUGCUAGUGUCUGGAUGUUGUCCCUCACACGUAUUCCGGAAUCAGCGGGCAAGGGGGAGGGACGCGGUGGAGUAGUAUGUGCACCGCAACGGCGGGAUGCAGGUGGAACCCGACAAGGACGAGCGGCUGCUCGCAUGAGUCUACCGUCGGUCUCUCACGAGGCAGAGGUNNNNNNNNNNUAGACAUUAGGUUUUUGGAUUGUUGAGUAAAUAGGCAAUUUUACGAGUAGAUUAAUCCAUGAAAUAAUUACUAACAUGGCAUUGACUAGGUNNNNNNNNNNGGACACUUGCCGCCUACGAUGGGAGAAUGUCAAGGCGCUGCGACUUACUAUUGAGCAGUCAAAGCGCGAGACGAAGGUGUUGAGUAAAUAGGCAAUUUUCCGAGUAGAUUAAUCCAUGAAAUAAUUACUAACAUGGCAUUGACUAGGUUCAUGACAUACUGAUCAUGGAGUAUACUAGCAAGUACUACACAUAUAGCAGAAACAUCUACGCAUAUAGGCAAUACUACUAGUGCAGAUAGANNNNNNNNNNNNNNNNNNNNNNNNNNNNNNNNNNNNNNNNNNNNNNNNNNNNNNNNNNNNNNNNNNNNNNNNNNNNNNNNNNNNNNNNNNNNNNNNNNNNAAUUAUCGUAAAAGAAAAUAAAUAAGUAAUUAGAAACAAAAAAGAAAGAAAAAAAAACUCGGAAAAAAUUAAAAUAAAGGAAUCAACUAAAAAGCUUUUAUAAACCUCUAGUAUUAUUGAAACUAAAAUUAUAUAGAAUUUUGUUACAAACUUUAAUAGCAAAAAGAAUUAUCAUAAAAGAAAAUAAAUAAGUAAUUAGAAACAAUAUAAAAUAUAAAAUAAGUAUUUUGUUGUAAGUAGGAACAAAACAAAAUAAGCUAACUAGCACUUUGAAUUUAAGUAGAAACAAAACAAAAAUAAUGAAAAAAAAUAGAUUCAAAUUUAGAGAGAAAUUCAACCUAAAUUCAAAGUGCUAGUUAGCCUAACUAGCUCUUUGAAUUUAAAGUGCUAGUUAGCCUAACUAGCUGUUUGAAUUUAGGUUGAAUUUUGUCUCUAAAUUCGUACCGUUCGACAUUGCAGCCGCGGCGGAGCUUAUAAACAGGCUCGGCAGCCCUUCGCUUGACGAGGUGGGACUAAACAUUCAACCGCACCGCGGCUGUGGCAGGCACAUGCCUUUAGUCCCGGUUGGUGGCUCCAACCGAGACUAAUGCCCCUCUUUAGUCCCGGUUGGUGCCACCAACCGGGACCAAAGGCCUCUGCUUCCCGCCCUUUGGGGUGCCGAAAAGAGGCCUUUGGUACCGGUUGGUGCCACCAGCCGGGACCAAUGCAACCCUUUAGUCCCGGUUGGUGCCACGAACCGGGACCAAUGCUUCUACUAUAUAAGCCAACACUUAUGGAAAUUUUCAGAUUUGACGGCGCCGCGAGCUCAUCCACGCCCGACAACGCCGCGAGCUCAUCCAUGACGCCGCCAGGCUGCCCCGUCGCCCUCCGCCCCCCAAGCCCACGCCGUCGCCCGUCACCGUCGCCCUCCGCCCCCCGCCACCGUCGCCGUCGCCCUCCGUCGCCCCCGAGCCGUCGCCAGUCACCGUCGCCCUCGCCCNNNNNNNNNNNNNNNNNNNNNNNNNNNNNNNNNNNNNNNNNNNNNNNNNNNNNNNNNNNNNNNNNNNNNNNNNNNNNNNNNNNNNNNNNNNNNNNNNNNNACUAUUUUCUAUUUUCAAAAUUAAUUAUUUUGACUAUCCAAACAAUUAACUAUUUUGUUAUUUUCAAGUAAAAACUAUGUUUAUUAAAAUUCUUUUUGCAAAUUUGAGAAUUUGACAAAAUUAUGAAAAUGAAAAGUGUUUGAAAUUGAAUAAAUAAUUCAAAACUAUUUUCUUUAGUACAUUCCAUACAUGCAUUACAUAAAAGGUUUAAUACAUUAUUACAUUAUUGCACCAAUAUUCCUAUCUAUUAUUUCUGUUUUCUUCUGGGUCGUAGCCAUGGAGAAUCUUCAUCAUUCAGUAGGAUGCUUGGGUCAGUUUUCACUUUGAAGGGCGGAAUUUCAUGAAACUUAUUAUAAUCUACUGACAUGUCUGUCUUGUCAUCUACUCCCACGAUGUUUCUUUUCCCUGAAAGAACUAUGUGGCGUUUUGGCUCAUCGGACGAUAUCUCAAAUUAUUAACUAUUUUGUUAUUUUCAAUUAAACGAUGUAUGAGGGUUUCGAACGAGAACUCAUCUCUUACAAAGGGAUUUCAUCUUUUUGAACUUAUUUAAACUCCAUACUUUUUGUGUGUUCAAAAUGCACCAUUCAAAGGCACAUCAUAAAAUUUCAACAAUUUCUGACUUCAUUUGGUAUUUUUCGUGCAUUUACUUAUCUUUUUUGAGCUAGUUGACCCUAAAAUUGAAAAGCACUACAAAUGAACUCUGAAAAUGUUGAAAGUUGGCAUGCUAUCAUCAUUUUACCCACAUAGCAUGUGUUAAAAAGUUGAGAGGGCUACGACAAAAACUGGAUGCACUUCGUUUACAAAACGGACAAUCUCUCUCAAAGUAUCACGAUUUCAAACGAGAACUCAUCUCUUACAAAGGUUUAUUAAAAUUCUUUUUGCAUAUUUGAGAAAGUAUCAACAUUUCGAACGAGAACUCAUCUCUUACAAAGGGAUUUCAUUUUUUAUGAACGUAUUUGAACUCCAUACUUUUUGUGUGUUCAAAAUGCACCAUCAAAGGCACAUCACAAAAUUUCAACAAUUUCUGACUUCAUUUGGUAUAUUUCAUGCCUUUUUGUGUGUUUAAAAUGCACCAUUCAAAGGCACAUCACAAAUUUUCAACAAUUUCUGACUUAAUUUGGUAUAUUUCAUGCAUUUACUUUUGUUUUUUUGGGCUAGUUGACCCUAAAAUUGAAAAGCACUACAAAUGAACUCUGAAAAUGUUGAAAGUUGGCAUGCUAUCAUCAUUUCACCCACAUAGCAUGUGCUAAAAAGUUGAGAGGGCUACGACAAAAACUGGAUGCACUUCGUGUACAAAACGGACAAUCUCUCUCGAAGUAUCAACGUUUUGAACGAGAACUCAUCUCUCACGAAGGGAUUUCAUUUUUUUGAACUUAUUUGAACUCCAUAAUUUUUGUGUAUUCAAAAUGCACCAUUCAAAGGCACAUCACAAAAUUUCAACAAUUUCUGACUUCAUUUGGUAUAUUUCAUGCUUAUUUGAACUCCAUAAUUUUUGUGUAUUCAAAAUGCACCAUUCAAAGGCACAUCACAAAAUUUCAACAAUUUCUGACUUCAUUUGGUAUUUUUCAUGCAUUUACUUAUUUUUUUUGAGCUAGUUGACCCUAAAAUUGAAAAGCACUACAAAUGAACUCUGAAAAUGUUGAAAGUUGGCAUGGUAUCAUCAUUUCACCCACAUAGCAUGUGCUAAAAAGUGAAGAGGGUUACGACAAAAACUGGAUGCACUUCGUGUACAAAACAGACAAUCUCUCUCGAAGUAUGAGGGUUUCGAACGAGAACUCAUCUAUUGCAAAGGGAUUUCAUUUUUUGAACUUAUUUGAACUCCAUACUUUUUGUGUGUUUAAAAUGCACCAUUCAAAGGCACAUCACAAAUUUUCAACAAUUUCUGACUUAAUUUGGUAUAUUUCAUGCAUUUACUUUUGUUUUUUUGGGCUAGUUGACCCUAAAAUUGAAAAGCACUACAAAUGAACUCUGAAAAUGUUGAAAGUUGGCAUGCUAUCAUCAUUUUACCCACAUAGCAUGUGUUAAAAAGUUGAGAGGGCUACGACAAAAACUGGAUGCACUUCGUUUACAAAACGGACAAUCUCUCUCAAAGUAUCACGAUUUCAAACGAGAACUCAUCUCUUACAAAGGUUUAUUAAAAUUCUUUUUGCAUAUUUGAGAAUUUGACAAAACUAUGAAAAUGAAAAUUGUUUGAAAUUGAAUAAAUAAUUCAAAACUAAAAGGUUUAGUACAUUCCAUACAUGCAUUACAUAAAAGGUUUAAUACAUUAUUACAUUAUUGCACCAAUAUUCCUAUCUAUUAUUUCUGUUUUCUUCUGGGUCGUAGCCAUGGAGAAUCUUCAUCAUUCAGUAGGAUGCUUGGGUCAGUUUUCACUUUGAAGGGCGGAAUUUCAUGAAACUUAUUAUAAUCUACUGACAUGUCUGUCUUGUCAUCUACUCCCACGAUGUUUCUUUUCCCUGAAAGAACUAUGUGGCGUUUUGGCUCAUCGGACGAUAUCUUCUUUUGCUGAUUUCUUUUUCUCGUUUUUGUAGACAUGUCCUUCACAUAGAAAAACCUGAGUGACAUCAUUGGCUAGGACAAAUGGUUCGUCCAUGUACGCAAGAUUGUUGAGAUCCACUGUUGUCAUGCCGUACUUUUGGUCUACAACUACCCCGCCUCCUGUCAGCUUCACCCAUUUCCACCGAAACAAAGGGAUCUUAAAAGUAGGUCCAUAGUCAAGUUCCCAUAUCUCCUCUAUGUACCUGUAAUAUGUUUCCAAACAGUGCCCAUUCUCGUCUGUUGCAUCAAAGCGGACACCACUAUUUUGGUUGGUGCUCUUUUUAUCUUGGGCAAACAUGUAAAAUGUAUUCCCAUUUAUCUCAUACCCUUGGAAGGUACAUAUAGUCGAAGAUGGUGGCCUGGCCAAACAGUACAACUGAUCUCCAACGGUGUCGUCAUUCAUGAGAUGUGUCUGCAACCAACUACCGAAAGUCUUCUCGUGGUCCCCUUUAAUCCAAGAGUCAGCCUUCCCCGGGUUUUCGGAGCGUAGAAUAUUCUUGUGUCUCACGAUAUACGGAGCCACCAUGGUGGAAUUGUGUAGAACUGUGUAGUGUGGUUGAGAGAAAGAAUGCCCUUCCAUACAUACUUUUGCUUUCCUUCCUAGUGUGCCUUUUCCUGUCAUCCUACCCUCAUACCGAGAUUCAGGAACACCAAUCGGCUUAAGGUCAGGAAGAAAGUCCACACAAAACUCAAUGACCUCCUCUGUUCCAUAGCCCUUGGAGAUGCUUCCUGCUGGCCUAGCACGGUUACGAACAUAUUUCUUUAAGACUCCCAUGAACCUCUCGAAGGGGAACAUAUUGUGUAGAAACACAGGACCGAGAAUUCUAAUCUCUUCGACUAGGUGAACUAGGAGGUGUGUCAUUAUAUUGAAGAAGGAUGACGGGAACAACAACUCAAAGCUGACCAGACAUUGGACCACAUCAAUCUGUAACCCUGAUAGACUUUCUCAAUCGAUUACCUUCUGAGAAAUUGCAUUGAGGAAUGCACAUACCUUCACAAUUGCCAGGUGAACAUUUUCCGGUAGAAUUCCCCUCAAUGCAACCGGAAGCAAUUGCGUCAUAAGCACGUGGCAGUCAUGAGACUUUAGGUUUUGGAAUUUUUUGUCUUUCAUAUUUACGAUUCCCUUUAUAUUCGACGAGAAGCCAGUCGGGACCUUGAUAUUGAAAAGGACUUCAAAGAAGAUUUCCUUCUAUUCCUUAGUAAGAGCGUGCGUAGCUGGCACGCCCUUGAAACUGCCCUGGAUGCAUGCCAUCUCUUCCUUUAUGACGUUCCUGGUCCUCCCGUGCUUCCAGUGUAUCUUUUGACUUCCCAUACAAGCCCAGGAAGCCUAGAAUAUUCACGCAGAGAUUCUUCGUCAGGUGCAUCACGUCGAUUGCCGAGCGGAGCUCAUGGACUUCCCAGUAGGGUAGCUCCCAAAAUAUAGAUUUCUUCUUCCACAUGGGUACGCGCUUAUGAGGGCCGUUAGGAACAGGUUGGCUGCCAGGACCCUUUCCAAAGAUUACUUUUAGAUCUUUGACCAUAUCAAAUACUUCAGCACUAGUACAGAUGACAGGCUUCCCCCGUGGUUCUGCCUUGCCAUUGAAAUGCUUGCCUUUUUUCUUUAAGGGAUGCUUGGGCGGAAGAAAACGAAGAUCGUACGGGUACACAUUCUUCCUACAUUUGUCCAGAUACAUACUUUCUGUCUGAUCCAAACAGUGCGUGCAUGCAUUGUAUCCCUUGUUUGACUGUCCUAAAAUGUUACUAAGAGCAGGCCAAUCAUUGAUGGUUACGAAAAGCAAUGCUCGAAGGUCAAAUUCCUCUUGUUUGUGCUCGUCCCACACACGUACACCUGGUUCGGCCCACAACUGUAAAAGUUCAUCAACUAAUGGCCUUAGGUACACAUCAAUAUCGUUGCCGAGUUGCUUUGGACCUUGGAUAAGCACUGGCAUCAUAAUGAACUUCCGCUUCAUGCACAACCAAGGAGGAAGGUUGUAGAUACAUAGAGAAACGGGCCAGGUGCUGUGACUGCAACUCUGCUCCCCAAAAGGAUUCAUGUCAUAUGUACUCAGACCAAACCAUAAGUUCCUUGCGUCAGCUGCAAAUCUCGGGAACUCUCUCUCGAUUUUUCUCCACUGCCGACCACCAGCGGUGUGCCUCAACUUAUCGUCUUUCAUAUGAUAUUCCAUGUGCCAUCGCAACAACUUCGCAUGAUCUUUAUUUCUGAACAGACGCUUCAACCGUGGUAUUAUAGGAGCAUACCACAUCACCUUGGCAGGAACCCUCUUCCUGGGUGGCUCGCCCUCAAUAUCUCCAGGGUCAUCUUUUCUGAUCUUAUACCGCAAUGUAGUGCAUACCGGGCAUUUAUCCAUAUUCUCGUACUUCUCACCGCAGUAGAGGAUGCAGUCAUUAGGGCAUGCAUGUAUCUUCUGCACGUCUAAUCCUAGAGGGCAGACAAGCUUCUUUGCUUCGUACGUGCUGGUGGGCAAUUCGUUCUUUCUUGGAAGCAUCUUCUUCAUCAGUACCAGCAACUUUUCGAAUGACGAGUCAGUCACACCGGUCUCUGCCUUCCACUUCAGCAAUUCGAGUGUGCUACCCAGCUUCUUCUGGCCAUCUUCACAAGUUGGGUACAACAAUUUGUUGUGGUCCUGUAACAUCUGCUCGAACUGCAACCUCUCCUUUUCUGUGUCGCAACCUCGCCGUGCAUCAGAAAUGACCCGGCCAAGAUCAUCAGCGGGCUCAUCUGGUUCCCGUUCUUCAUCCUGAUCUUCUUCUUCAUUGUCUUCCAUUGCGGUAUCAACAUACUCAGGGAACAUAGAUCGGUAGUUGUCAUCAUCGUUCUCUUCUUCUUCAUCGUCGUCUUCCAUCAUAACCCCUCUUUCUCCGUGCUUGGUCCAAACAUUAUAGCCCGACAUAAAACCAGACCGAAGCAGGUGGCUCUGAAUGACUCUUGAGGAAGUGUAAUCCUUCUCAUUCCGACAUUCAACACAUGGACAAAACAUAUAGCCACCACCAUGCUUGUUCGCAUCGGCUGCAUCUCGAAAAGAAUGCACACCUUCUCUGUAAGCGGUUGUGCGUCGAUCACCGUACAUCCAUGGAUGGCUCAUCUGCGUUAUACGACAGUAUAUCAAAUACAAUCACGAUCCUAAAAAUUAUUACCGCACGGUCUAAACGAGGAAAUAUAGUUGCUAACCUUUUAGAAUAAGUAGAAAUAAAGAGGAAGAGGUUUAAGCGUGGCUCGGGCAUCUCAUAUCGUAGUUGUGUUCGGUGAACUGAAGCGGCAUCGCUCUAACACACAUUUCAACAAACACCUCUAGUGCAUCCAAGAAAAAUGGAGAGCUAGCACACACCCACACUCUUCCAUCCAAGAAAAAUGCAAGGAAGAGGGGAGAGGGGGGCUGUGGCCAAUAUAUAUAGGCAGAGGACUUUAGUCCCGGUUUGAGACACAAACCGGGACUAAAGGUGGCGCACAUGCGGGCUGCACACCGCGUAGCCCUUUAGUCCCGGUUUGAGACACAAACUGGGACUAAAGGCUCCUUACGGGCCGAGACCAAAGCCUCGUGGGCGGCAUUGCGAUUUGGGGCGAUGUGGCCGGGCCUUUAGUCCCGGCCCAGAUGGAGGCCGGGACUAAAGGGUCCAGCCAAAGGCCCGUUUUCCACUAGUGAAUAUAUAGCAAGCCAAUACGAGGUGUCAGUUUUUUGUUUGCAAAGUCACUUGCGAACAUCACUUUUUGUGAUCUAAUAUUUAGUUAUUGAUGCUGAGAGAACAUCCAUUACUAGGAAAAACCUUAUACAUAGAACCUUAGCAGUAGUGCUGGAUAAACGGCGGCGCUACUUCUACAUAUGAGUAGCGCGCAUCAAGUAAAAGCGCUACUACUAACUACUUAGCAGUAGCGCGGCUUUAAGAAACACGCUACUACUAAUAUUGCCCCACAGUUCCCGCCAGGCUAGAUUUAGUAGUAGCGCGCCCCAGAUAACAGCGCUACUGCUAACAGAAUAGUAGUAGCGCUUGUUUCCGACCCACACUACUGCUAAGUGGGGCGUGCACUUAUAUCUUCUUCGCCCCUGCACGCCCCUCUCGCUCACUCUCUCCCUCUCCACACUCUGCAUCGCCGCCGCCCCCCUCACUCCCUCCCUCUCCACUCUGCGUCGCUGCCCCGCCCCUCACUCCCUCUUUCUCCCCCUCCUCACUAUCUCCCUCUCCACUCUGCGUUGUCUCCCCACGCCUCACUCCCUACCUCUCCCCCUCCUCACUCUCUCCCUCUCCACUCUGCGCUGCCGCCGCCGCCGCAGGUCCUGCCCGGCGACCUCGCCCCCGGCCCCGACCCCGACCUUGACCCCGGCGACAUUAACCCCUGCCCCGACCCCGACACCGAACCGGCGUCUGGUGAGACAUCCCCACGCCUAGGGUUCUUGCUAGUAUUCUUUCGAGGGACAAUAUGAUGUCCCGAACGUUGUUGUGAGAAUAUUUGCAAUAUAUAUAUUUGCAUGUUAAGAAAAAUAGGUUAGUGCGCGCUAGCUAAAUUCAAAUGAGAUGAUUGAUGUACAAAUGAUAACUAGAAAGUAAAACAUUAAACGAUAAGAAAAUUUUCUCAUAGGAAUUUCUCGACGUCGACGAUGCCCGGCCCGCAUCCUCAUUGUCCAGUGGUCGGCGAGAGCCUGCUUGAUAGGCGCCAUGUCCGGGACUGGGCUCCGUCGGGCUGACACUGGGAGGUGCUACCUUCCCGGGCGUGCACCUUAAUGAGGAAUUAAUCUGGGUCUCGUCGUCGACCCGGAGCUUCUUUGGUGGCGGUCGCGUGGGACACUAUCGGUGCUGAGGGAGCCGGGCCCCAUGGAGGUGGUACGGCAUUGUGUCAGGGAGGAGGACGAGCACGUCCAACGCUACAUGGUUGGAUUGGAUGCUAGGUUCUCUAAUACCUGACAUGUUCUUCACGGAUAUCCCCCGAGCUAUGAUCCGGUAAUGGUUCAUUAUCUUUGGGUUGCCACCGCCUAUGCCGUGAGACGUCAACUGGAUUUGUAUUAGUGAUAUUAUAUGAUAAUAUUUGAGAUGUAUUAGUGAUAAUAUCCGAUGAUGCAUUAACUGGCACUAGUAGAAAAGAGGGCAUUUGUCCCGGUUCGUAAGGGCCAUUAGUCUCGGUUCUUGAACCGAGACUAAUAGGUCGUUACUAAUGCCUCCCCCUUUAGUCCCGGUUCUUACACGAACCGGGACAAAUGGGCAUCCACGUGGCCGCUGCGGGCAGCCCAGGCAGGGAGGCCUUUGGUCCCGGUUGGUGACAUAAACCGGGACCAAAAGGCAUCCACACGUCAGAAACUGGCUGCAGCUGAGGUUUUUUUUUAAAGUGGCUGGUUUAGGGGUUUUGGGGGUUAAUUUAGGUUGUUAUUAGCUAGCUAAUAGAGAGAAGUGUCCUCUCUUAUCUUCGUGUUUGGUUUACCAACGCUACUGCUAUGUUCAUUUCACCCGCUGAUAUAUAAUAACUCUUCAUGCUCGCAUCAUACAUCAUCAUAUAUAAUAACAAGUCCUACUAAUCAUGCAUCAUCAUACAUCCUAAUAACAAGGAGCAUCCAUGAGCAUGCACAAAAUUUCAUCAGGCACACCACCAUCAUACUUAAAAGUGCAGUAGCAGUUCAACACUAUUGUACUUAAAAGGUUUAUACUAUAAAGAUUAAAGCCAUCAGGUUCUUAAGAUAUUCACUCCUGCUUCUUCACCUUCUCCUUCAUCAUCUUGAUGCGCUUAGAGCGGCGAAGCCCCAGGCCAGGCUGUGGGAUGUACUCCUCUACCACAAUUGGCAUGACCCUGUCGCCCAGCUGUGGGACAUCCAUCGCGAGGCCAUCGUCGCUGCUACUUUUGCUGUCGCCAGAGUCGUUGUUGCCGUAGACAUAGCACCUGUCGCAGUACUCGCUGCUCCUGCUCCCAUUGCCUUGCCAAAUGCAAAAAAGUUUUUUUUAAAAUGGGUGUGAGAGAUAGCCUAAUGGAGAUGAAGAAGAGACACAGCAUACCGGCAUCGUCAUCGUCCUGGUAGCGCCUCCGACACAUAGUCGUGUCGAACACCUUCACGACGAACGUGGCGUUGCCGUCGCACCUGAAGACAAGGAAGUACCCGAUCCCCAGGUCGUAGGUACGGACGAACUGCUUCCAGCUACGAUCUAGGUACAUGCGGCCAUCGGCGUCGAACACCACCUCCACGUCCCACAGCUUGCGAAGCCCGUUGCCGGCCUGCCUCAGCUUCAUGUUAUGUGGCCGAUGGCCGUCCAGCAUCUUCACAAAAUUGUGCGGCAGCACCAGCCUGGAGUAUUUUUCAAGUAUAACCAUGAAGAACUCCAUCUCCGAAAAGCAGCAGAAGAGACCAACUACUACCCUUUACAACAUUGUCAUACAACAUUUACAGCAACAAGAUCAUUAGUAUUAGGGAGGACCUAAUUAAAUACCCUAUUUAAGGUAAAAUAGCAUAAAACAAUAUAGACCCUGACUCGAGGUCGGAGGGGGGUCGGUGACGGGGACGACGGCGCGGAUGAUGGAGGGGGCUCCUAGAUUUCUGCAUAGGGCUCUCUAAUUUUAGCAUUCAAAGUAGGAGUACUUUUCCAAUUUGAACAUUCAAUAAGCAAAAACAAAUCGUAAAAUAAAGUAGUAUUCAAAUUAGCAUGCAUUCAAUUAUAAGCAAGACUACAUCAUCGAUCUCUUGUGUCCAUACAUCGUCGAAUAUUAUCACUAAUUAAUACUCCUCGAAUACUAUCAUACAUAAAGCAUCAUUAAUUAAGCUAGAACCGUAGCGCCCGACGGGUAUCAUCGCGGGCGGUGGACACCCAAAGAGAAGGAACCAUCACAGGAUCAUAGCUCCAGUGAGAUCCCUGAAGAACCUGCCAGGUAUUGUCGAAACUGCCCUCCAAUGCAACCAUGUAGCGAUGGACGUGCUCGUCCUCCUCGCUGACACGAUGACGUAACACCUCCGCGGUGUCCGGAAGCCUCGGCACCGUCACUCGCCCACGCGACCGCCACCAAACAAGGAUCGGGUCAACAACGGGUUGCCUCCUCACCAACCUACGUCCCCCGAAGGUAGCACCUCCCAAUACCAGCCGGGCGGAGCCCAGUCCCGGACAUGGCCCCUCUGAUCAAGCAGGUGUCCUCCGCCGAGUCGACGACGAGGAUGCGGGAUAGGCAUCGUAAAAUGAACUAAAAAAUAACAUUUCUAUAAGGCAUGGAAAAAAACGAAAUCAAUACGUUGAAUGAAACUAUUCUAUGCUUUAUUAUAUUUCAUUUAAAUGUUAAAACUAUAAAGUAUUUGAUUUCCAUUUUAAGAUACCCACAAAAAUUAGCACUUAGGUUUUCACAUUUGUUUUGAAGGAACUACACACAUAACAAAAAAAUGUGACAAGUAUAAGACUAACCACUAUUUUCAAAAUCAAUAUACUUUCACGAGACCAUUGCUAAGUAACAUGCAUUAAAACUAGCCCGUGCAAAUGCACGGGUUGUUGACUAGUGGAUAUUAGUUUGAAUCGUCCUUUGCAUGUAAUUAGAUGCAUGAAUGAGAAAACUAGGGAUGGUUGAUAGAGUAUAUUCACUGAACGAUCUAGAAACACCAUAUGAAUUAUUGGCCACUACACAAAGUGGUUGGGUAUAUCGGAUAACAAACACAUGCUGAUGAUCUAUUCAUAGCAAGAAUGACGAACAAUGAAGAACGUGAAAGCAUAUAAACAAGGGAGUGAUAAAAAGGUAUAUAAAUGUAAAACGUGGUUGAUUGAAUAUUUUGCUAUGUGUUGUUCAAUGCACCAUGACCUCACAUCUAUUUAUGAUGUUGCUGGACUUCCCAUAAAAUGGAAGUAUUCCAAAUCCUUUAAACAUUCUUUAAAAGUUAACCGAACUCGAAUUUAAGUAUGGUUGAGACAACAAUUUCAUUUUUGGGUACCACAGUCCAUAUAUGAUCUCGGAUGGAGGUGCGCCCAAUUUCUAAUUUAUAUAUAUGGGUGAUACAAUCAACUUUCUUGUUGAACCUUUUUUGAUUUAAGGCCAUAUUUGUGCCAAAUAUCACGCACAAAGAAGUCAACGACUCACGCUACCCAUCAGACGUUGGUCAUAUGGGUAUAUUUUUGUUUAAAAAGGAGGUUAAGACCCCCGGUCUCUGCAAACAUACAUAUAUGAAAAAUGCAAACAUACAUGCAUGAAAUGAGCAUUCUACAACUAUAUAUGUAUAUAGAAAUCAAAUGUUACAAAUAAAAAAUUAAAAACAAUAAAUAAAAAAAAAACAGAGCCAUGGCGGCGGCCGGAGCGACGGCGUGGGUGGCGAGGGCGACGGCGAUGGCGGCGGGGGCGGAGNNNNNNNNNNNNNNNNNNNNNNNNNNNNNNNNNNNNNNNNNNNNNNNNNNNNNNNNNNNNNNNNNNNNNNNNNNNNNNNNNNNNNNNNNNNNNNNNNNNNNNNNNNNNNNNNNNNNNNNNNNNNNNNNNNNNNNNNNNNNNNNNNNNNNNNNNNNNNNNNNNNNNNNNNNNNNNNNNNNNNNNNNNNNNNNNNNNNNNNNNNNNNNNNNNNNNNNNNNNNNNNNNNNNNNNNNNNNNNNNNNNNNNNNNNNNNNNNNNNNNNNNNNNNNNNNNNNNNNNNNNNNNNNNNNNNNNNNNNNNNNNNNNNNNNNNNNNNNNNNNNNNNNNNNNNNNNNNNNNNNNNNNNNNNNNNNNNNNNNNNNNNNNNNNNNNNNNNNNNNNNNNNNNNNNNNNNNNNNNNNNNNNNNNNNNNNNNNNNNNNNNNNNNNNNNNNNNNNNNNNNNNNNNNNNNNNNNNNNNNNNNNNNUUUGAAUUUAGGUUUAAUUUCUCUCUAAAUUUGAAUCUAUUUUUUUUCAUUAUUUUUGUUUUGUUUCUACUUAAAUUCAAAGUGCUAGUUAGCUUAUUUUGUUUUGUUCCUACUUACAACAAAAUACUUAUUUUAUAUUUUAUAUUGUUUCUAAUUACUUAUUUAUUUUCUUUUAUGAUAAUUCUUUUUGCUAUUAAAGUUUGUAACAAAAUUCUAUAUAAUUUUAGUUUCAAUAAUACUAGAGGUUUAUAAAAGCUUUUUAGUUGAUUCCUUUAUUUUAAUUUUUUCCGAGUUUUUUUUUCUUUCUUUUUUGUUUCUAAUUACUUAUUUAUUUUCUUUUACGAUAAUUCUUUUUGCUAUUAAAGUUUGUAACAAAAUUCUAUAUAAUUUUAGUUUCAAUAAUACUAGAGAUUUACAAAACUUUUUGCUAUUAAAGUUUGUAACAAAAUUUUAAUUACUUAUUUAUUUUCUUCUAUGAUAAUUCUUUUUUGCUUUUAAUGUUUUGAACAAAAUUCUAUAUAAUUUUAGUACAAAGGCAUUUUAUUUGGUACAGAUUUUAAGGUUGGGCCCCACGAGCACCUUUUAGUACUGGUUCGUGGCAUGAACCGGUAAAAGUUUUUUAGUUGAUUAUUUCGGCAGCUGUUUUUUAGUCCCACCUCGCCAAGCGAGAGGCACUCACAGCGGUUUAUAAGCCCUGAGUGUAGAGACGAUGAAGGGAGAAGCGCAGUGCUCACCUGUCUGUUACAACAUGCAUUUCAAAUGAACUACAAAAAGGUUGAAAGUUGACGUGGUAUCAUCAUAAUAGUUGUGGAGAAAGUCUACACUUUUUCUUCGCUUGUGUCCUUUCCUUAUUGCGCCGUAACCAUGGAUAAUCUUCAUCAUUUAUCAGGAUGCUUGGGUCAGCCUUGACUUUGAAGGGAGGAAUUUCAUCAAACUUUUCAUAAUCUUCGGACAUGUCUGUCUUCCCUCCACUCCCACGAUGUCCCUUUUUCCUGAAAGAACUAUGUGGCGCUUUGGCUCAUCGUAUGAUGUAUUCGCUUCCUUAUUUUUUCUUUUUCUCAGUUUGGUAGACAUGUCCUUCACAUAGAUAACCUGUGCCACAUCAUUGGCUAGGACGAACGGUUCGUCAGUGUACCCAAGAUUGUUCAGAUCCACUGUUGUCAUUUCGUACUAUGGGUCUACCUGUACCCCGCCUCCUGACAGAUUGACCCAUUUGCACUUAAACAAAGGGACCUUAAAAUCUACAUCGUAGUCAAGUUCCCAUAUGUCCACUAUGUAACCAUAAUAUGUGUCCUUUCCCCUCUUGGUGGCUGCAUCAUAGCGGACACCGCUGUUUUGGUUGGUGCUCUUUUGAUCUUGGGCGAUCGUGUAAAAUGUAUUCCCAUUUAUCUCGUAUCCUUUCCAAAUCGUAACAGUCGAAGAUGGUCCCCUGGACAACGAGUACAUCUCAUCACAAACAGUGUUUUCAUCUCUGAGACGUGUUUCCAACCAACUGCUGGAAGUCCUGAUGUGUUCACAUGUAAUCCAGUCGUCGCACUCCUCCGGGUGUUUGGAGCGCAGACUGUUCUUGUGUUCAUCGACAUAAGGGGUCACCAAGGUAGAGUUCUGUAGAACUGUGCAGUGUGCUUGAGACCAAGAAUAUCCAUCCCUGCAUAUUAUUGUCUCCCCUCCAAGCGUGCCUUUUCCAGCCAGUCUCCCCUCAUACCGCAAUUUAGGGAGACCUAUCUUCUUAAGGUCAGGAAUGAAGUCAACACAAAACCCAAUGACAUCCUCUGUUUGAUGGCCCAUGGAGAUGCUUCCUUCUGACCUAGCGCGGUUAUGGACAUAUUUCUUUAGGACUCCCAUGAACCUCUCAAAGGGGUACAUAUUGUGUAGAAAUACAGGGCCCAGAAUGACAAUCUCGUCAACUAGUUGAACUAGGACGUGCGUCAUGAUAUUGAAGAAGGAUGGUGGGAACACCAGCUCGAAACUGACAAGACAUUGCACCACAUCACUCCUUAGCCUUGGUAUGAUUUCUGAAUCGAUCACCUUUUGAGAGAUUGCAUUGAGGAAUGCACAUAGCUUCACAAUGGCUAAUCAGACGUUUUCUGGUAGAAGCCCCCUCAAUGCAACCGGAAGCAGUUGCGUCAUAAUCACGUGGCAGUCAUGAGACUUUAGGUUCUGAAACUUUUUCUCUACCAUAUUUAUUAUUCCCUUUAUAUUCGAUGAGAAGCCAGUCGGGACCUUCAUACUAAGCAGGCAUUCAAAGAAGAUUUCCUUCUCUUCUUUGGUAAGAGCGUAGCUGGCAGGACCUUCAUACUGCUUUGGAGGCAUGCCGUGUUUUUCGUGCAAACGUUGCAGGUCCUCCCGUGCCUCAGCUGUAUCUUUUGUCUUCCCAUACACGUCCAAGAAGCCUAGCAGGUUGACGCAAAGGUUCUUCGUCACGUGCAUCAUGUCUAUCGAAGAGCGAACCUCUAGGUCUUUCUAGUAGGGUAGGUCCCAAAAUAUAGAUUUCUUCUUCCACAUGGAUGCGUGUCCCCCAGCGUCACUCGGAACAGCUAGUCCGCCAGGACCCUUUCCAAAGAUUACGUGUAAAUCAUUGACCAUAGCAAGUACGUGAUCACCGGUAUGCAUGGCGAGCUUCUUCCGGUGAUCUGCCUCGCCUUUGAAAUGCUUGCCUUUCUUUCGACGUUGAUGGUUGGUCGUAAGAAAUCAACGAUGGCCCAGGUACACAUUCUUCUUGCAGCUUCCCAGGUAUAUACUUUCGAUGUCAGCUAAACAGUGCGUGCAUGCAUUGUAUCUCUUGUUUGUCUGUCCUGAAAGGUUACUGAGAGCGGGCCAAUCGUUGAUGGUUACAAACAGCAACGCGUGCAGGUUAAAUUCCUCCUGUUUGUGCUCAUCCCACGUACGUACACCGUUUCCAUUCCACAGCUGUAAAAGUUCUUCAACUAAUGGCCUUAGGUACACAUCAAUGUCGUUGCCGGGUUGCUUAGAGCCUUGGAUGAGAACUGGCAUCAUAAUGAACUUCCGCUUCAUGCACAUCCAAGGAGGAAGGUUAUACAUACAUAGAGUCACGGGCCAGGUGCUGUGAUUGCUGCUCUGCUCCCCGAAAGGAUUAAUGCCAUCCGCGCUUAAACCAAACCAUACAUUCCUUGGGUCACGUGCAAACUCAGCCCAGUACUCUCUCUUGAUUUUUCUCCACUGCGACCCGUCAGCGGGUGCUCUCAACUUCCCGUCUUUCUUACGGUCCUCACUGUGCCAUCGCAUCAACUUGGCAUGCUCUUUGUUUCUGAACAGUUGUUUCAACCGUGGUAUUAUAGGAACAUACCACAUCACCUUCGCAUGAACUCUCUUCCUGCGGGGCUCGCCGUCAACAUCACCAGGGUCAUCUCGUCUGAUCUUAUACCGCAAUGCACUGCAUACCGGGCAUGCGUUCAAAUCCUCGUACGCACCGCGGUAGAGGAUGCAGUCAUUAGGGAAUGCAUGUAUCUUCUGCACCUCCAAUCCUAGAGGGCAUACGACCUUCUUUGCUGCGUACGUACUGUCGGGCAAUUCAUUAUCCUUUGGAAGCUUCUUGUUCAAUAUUUUUGGUAGCUUCUCAAAUCCUUUGUCAGGCACAUCAUUCUCUGCCUUCCACUACAGCAAUUCCAGUACGGUACCCAGCUUUGUGUUGCCAUCUUCACAAUUGGGGUACAACUUUUUUUGUGAUCCUCUAACAUGCGAUCGAACUUCAGCUUCUCCUUUUGACUUUCGCAUUGCGUCCUUGCAUCGACAAUGACCCGGCGGAGAUCAUCAUCGGGCACAUCGUCUGGUUUCUCUUGAUCUUCAGCAGCUUCCCCCGUUGCAGCAUCAUCGGGCACAUCGUUUGGUUCCUCUUGAUCUUCAGCAGCUCCCCCCGUUGCAGCAUCACCGUAUUCAGGGGACACAUAGUUGUCAUCGUCCUCUUCUUCUUCGCCGUCUUCAAUCAUAACCCCUAUUUCUCCGUGCCUCGUCCAAACAUUCUAGUGUGGCAUGAAACCCUUGUAAAGCAGGUGGGUGUGAAGGAUUUUCCGGUCAGAGUAAGACUUCGUAUUCCCACAUUUACUGCAUGGACAACACAUAAAACCAUUCUGCUUGUUUGCCUCAGCCACUUGGAGAAAAAUAUGCACGCCCUUAAUGUACUCGGAGGUGUGUCUGUCACCAUACAUCCAUUGCAGUUCAUCUGCGUGCAUUACAUAUAAUUAUGUGUGUCAAAAUUAAGAAAAUCAGACAAAUAUCUAUCUAAAGUAAGAAAAUCAGACAAGUAUGAUAAAGAAGAUAAGAACAAGAGGCUCACCACGGUGGUGCCGGCGACGAGAUUGGCGCGGGCGAUCAACAGCGGUGAAAACGGGGACGGGGCGUGACGGACCCCUAAAUCUAGACAAAUCUCGGGAAAAAUGAAGCUCCUAGGUCGAGCUUCGAGAGGAGAAAGCUUAACUAGUGUGGCUCGGGCAUUUCAUCGAACACCUCAUGUGCAUAGGAGGUGAGCUAGAGCACCAAAAUGCUCUCCCCUCGCCGGCCAAAAAAAACAGAGUGCUCUGCCGCGGCGAUGGGUAUAUACAGGCAACUUAUUUGUACCGGUUCGUGACAUGAACCGGGACUAAAGCCACCCCUUCUGUCCCGGUUCAUGCCACGAACCGGGACCAAUGGUUGUGGGCCAACAGUGAGGACCAUUGGUCCCGGUUCGUAGCUCGAACCGGGACCAAUGCCCACGAGGCCCCGGCCGGCCCCCUGGGCUCACGAACCGGGUCUAAUACCCCCCAUUGGUCCCGGUUCUUGAAGAACCGGGACUAAUGGGCUGGCCAGGGCCGAACGAUAGCCCUGUUUUCUACUAGUGUGGAUUAUUCGAGAUGAUGUAUUAGUGAUAUUAUAUGAUAUUAUUCGAGAGAGUUUAGUAAAAAAAUAAGGUACUUUCGGUUUGUCGUCGCUCCUUGUGUGACUUUCAUGCGUGUUCUUGCUCGAGGAAUCCUGACUGUUGUCAUGGGGAGUGAUCCUAUUCUCUUCUUUAGAUGUAUACCUUGGUAUAAUGCGCAAGGAGAGGAGAGGAGAAGCGCCCAUCUCCGACGGUCAAACUAUUAGUGUGAGAAAGUGUCCAUCAAUAUAUAUACACCAUCAUAUCAGUGUGAGAGAGUGCACAUCAACACACCAUGAGACAUGAGAGUUAUUUAAGGAAAGCCUCGACUAACGAAAAGUCAACCGAUAUUGAAUUAGGUCUAUUUGAACAUGUGUAUGUUAUUGCAGGGAACACCUCCUAGUGCCUAAGUUUUGCUGAAAUGUUGAUUCAUUUUCGUUCUGGUAAAUUUCAGACGCUCAAUAUGUCUUAUUUUAAUAAUGGUCAUGCCAAAUUUUUGAACAUAGGAAAUGUGUGACGAUGAUAGGAUCCCUAAGUGUGAACUCUGCGGCGAAGAUCACGGUUUGUGCGACAGGCCUCACCUACGAGAGGGCAGGUUCUUCACCAUCAAGCUUGACGAGAGGGCAUGCCUCACCUUACAUUGCUAACUAGGCUACUUUUAUGUUCUUCAACAGAAACUGCCGAAUGAUGUUGUGCCUCCGUUGAUGCAUAGCCAAUGUAACUUAUAUAGCUAUAUCAUGAUUAUGAUGUAACGACAUGAUUUGUGUUGGAUGAUAUGAUGAGACUAUUAUGUGUAUGAAAAUCAUAUCAUAAACUGGCAAUAUGCUCAUCAUAGAAUAGUAUAAAAUCUGUACAAAAACAUCAAAAAUACAUAAAAAAGAUAUGUAAAAAUAUAGUAGUAGCGCUCUUUAGCGCUGAAUAGGAAAGCGCUACUGCUAAGUGGCUAUAGCAGUAGCACGGGCCGAAGCGCGCUACUGCUAAACGUUAGUUGUAGCGACGUAUCAAUAGCGCUGUGCCCCGCGCUACUAAUAGCCCUUAGAGCCGCGCUACUGCUAGUAGUGAUCACUUGUAGCCAAAAAUGUUUGGGGGCAUGGGCUUGAGGGGGGGACCUCAUUAUUUUUAAUUGAUUUGGAGUCAAAAAUGAACCUAAUAGAAAUAAAUAUAGGCUUAAUUAUUUCUGAGCUGGGGGAUCAUGGCCCAGGUUGGUCCCCAUCAAGCUCCGCCACCGGUUAUAUGGCUUAAGCCCUGUGUUCCGCCAAUUAAACGGAAAUUCUCACCUCUUCUUAAUCAGUAAAAAUGGCAUGUCCUUUGCCUCGUGUCAAAAAAUAAAAGUUACAACUACAACUUCAUCGAAACCACGUUCAAAAGUUUACCAAAAUUCUUAAAAAAAAUACUCCUAACGAACUUUAAGGACGGUUUAUUUUUCCAGAUGGCAGUGUUCUAUUAGCACAUUAAGAUGCUGGUGUUCUAUUAGCACAUGAAGUUUCAAGUUCUAGCACAAAAUCAUUUACUAGGUAGGCAAAAAACAAAUUCAACAAUGCAUAGUAGAUUUCAUUGUUUGGCACUAUUUAUUACUACCACUGUAAGUUUUUAUAAGAUGUUUGUGAUCCAUAAGAGUGUCAACUUUUUUCUUAUAUUAAGUUACGGAGGGAGUACAAAAUUUAUUUUGAAUUGAGUUUGAACUUGGAAUGUUACAUUCCAGGAGAAUAUCGCUUUCUUAACACAACAUAUUCUUUUGAAAACUUCAAUUUUUUCACAUGGUUUCCAUCGUAACUUUGGUUUCCGCCUGAUAUUGACUCAUUCAUACCAACCGCUUUCCUUUUUUCAUAAUUUUAUAGUGAAUAAUUUCAGAUUUUUCAUAGUGCAUGGUUUGUAUUAGUGUACAUUUGUCAUAGCAUGUUUAUUGGUUGUAGUAUCUGGACCUAACUUUUUUUCCUAGAUAUCACAAUAUAUAGCACGUCAAUAUGGUUGGUCACUAGUGCACCAAAUCAUUCAUUCAUUCAUUGGAGCUUCUUGCGGUAGAAGGUGAAUAAUUAGGUGGGACGCACACACCAUGGUCUUAAGUUCUUAUAAGAAGCAUAGUUGUGAGGCAAUACAUCGAUUUUCUUUCAUAAAACCGUUUGGUACCAGAAACGAAAGUGACUUUUGAAAAAGGCUAUAUAUACCAACUGUUGGUAUGAGAGGCGUUGGAAAUUUAGCAGUGAGUCACAACAAAACUAGCCUUACCAGAUUAUGCCAUCACCCUCCUCCCAUUCUGCCAUGUGUUGCUGUUUAUGCCACCACCGUCGGCAUUGGGAGCGACGGGGAUGUGCCAUUGUGUGACACCCAAUGGUCCCAGGGUCUUUGUUGUGGCCACCGGUUCAAGCUCCUUGUCCUCCACAACAAAGCACAUAUAUCAUAGACUAGUUUCUGUUGUCGAUGGGCUAGUGGGUGAUGGAGUUGCGUGCAUUUUCCCCGUGCAUCGAAAACAGGCCCGAGUGAGGUGUAGCUGACAGAAAAUGACCUAUAUCCGUCUCAGUCUUAAGCUCAAACUAUAAUAAGACACUCGUUAACAUGGAGGGCCUGGAAUCCAUAGACAGGUACAUACGUCUCGCCCUGUCAUCAAACCACGCCCAGCACGCCACAGAGCUUCCACAAAUUGUUGAAUCAAAAGGACAUAUCUUGUGGUGUAGACCACAGACCACUUAAACCUUCUCUCUAUCAAACUUGUAGAACUGCAAAACGUUCAUUACGAGCUUAAGACCAGGUCAACACAUAAUUAGAGCAACUACAGUCGAGAUGGUC
rnacentral:lncRNA from 1 species